rnacentral:lncRNA from 1 species
UCAAGUGCAGUUGGUAAGUAUACUUUAUGCUGCUUUUUAUUGUCAACAUCGUCUCCAUGCAGGCUACACUGGCAAACAAGCUGCUUAACUCUUGUGCAUGCUGGUUUUUUGUCAUCACUAGUAUACUGGUAUUGGACUGAAGCUUGUUAGCUCUGUCCAUGCUGGGCCUUUUUGUCAUCAUUAGUAUUGUUAUAUAUUAGCUGAAGCUGCACAUGUUUUCUUUCCAUUGACGUUGGUGUGGGCGGUGCUACGCGUCAGUCGGCCGAUGGAUGGACGCCUUACUCACCUGAUUUUAAUCAAGUGCCACCUAGGUGUAGUUUGUUUUGUCACUAGCUGUGUAUACAUAGGCGAGCUCCAGCACUGUGUUGCAGCGUGGAAAACAUAUGAACUGUAAUAAGAAACAUGCAAUGGCUAGAAACAUGUCCACAUAUUUUUUCAGCACGUUUUAGGUGUCAACGAAAUUAGUCGGAUCGCCAGCCGUCAAAUUGACACAUGGAGCAUUGGAUCACACUACACGGCAGCAGAGAGAAUGGAAACCGUGUUCCUCCAUAGCCUCCACAAUACAUGUGUAUCCACCAUCCCUCCCACAUCGUCGCAACAGACAAUUACAUCGGCCCCUUGCAACACCUGGCUUUGGUACCCAAGAGAUCCCUGAUGUCGCUUGGAUAUCAUGCAAGUAUUAUUACAGUGCGCCAACGAGGCGUCGUCCUUGCAAGGGCCGUGGCAUGUGGCACUAUUCGUGGGAUAAAACACACACCGCGAGAAUAUGCGGUUGCACCACUGCGAUCUGUGCAACUUAGGAAUUGUUGUGACUGCCCCUGCAAAACUAGCGAUGAUACGACCAUCGCCCUGCAACAUCGGCCAUAGUUGUAGCACAUAUGAGAAGACGGAUGCCCCACCUAACAACACAUUAUGUGUUUUUUUCACCAUAAGAAAGCACUGCCUUGCAACAUCGGCUAUCAGGGUGCUGCACCGACAAACACACUCACGACCUUGAGACGUCGUAUGCCUUGGCCGAUGUAGCAUAGUGGUCCUCUUUCAGCAUAUAGCGAUGGCUUGUAGCAAUGAUGGUCGGAGAGUCGCAGCAUCGUGGAGUGGCAGUGCUAGCCCAACUCAUUGUCAUAGAGAAAGGGGAAUAAAGGAUGGGUGUGCACGUGGUGGAAAUAAAGCGAAUGGAUAUGGUCAAGAGAGAAGAAGAUUAACAAGGGGCAUCUCGCGCUAGAGCGAUCUGACUGAUUACCCCCCAAAACCAGCUUGUUGAAUAUAAUUCAAUUUUCUUUUGAGAGACAUCAUAAAAACGUCGCAACAUGCGAGCAUGUCUAUACAAAAAAUUGUAGAUAUACGACACAUACUCAUUAGCUGCACCAAAUCAGUGAACACUAGUAGAAAAAGGGAUUUUAGUCCCGGUUCAUAAGGGCCUUUAGUCCCGGUUCUGGAACCGGGACUAAAGGGUCGUUACUAAAGCCUCCCCCUUUAGUCCCGGUUCUUACACGAACCGGGACUAAAGGCUCUCCACGUGGCCGCUGCCUGGAGGUCCACCUUUAGUCCCGGUUGGUAACACCAACCGGUACUAAAGAAAAUGAUAUGCUUUUUUUUAAAAAAAAUUUAAAAAAAAUUGGAAUAUUUUUUUUAUUUUCAAAUUUUUUAACCUCUCAUCUCUAAUCACCCCUCAUCAUCUAACUUCCCAGACGGUCACCCAUCCUCACACUACUCCAGCCUGAGUACGCUUAACUUCCGGGUUCGAUUCUCCCUCGUUUCCAAGUCCGCACUUGUAGUUUUCUUGACAAUAGUAAGAUGUCAAUCCUAUUAACCUCAGGAAUUUAGCUUGAGCAUGAAGUCACACAUUUCACUGUUUGAGUUUGAAACUAUUGUUCUAAAAAAUAACACUAAUAUUUAGUAACACUAAUACUUCUUGAAUAAUUAGUUUGACCAUUGUUUGACCAGAUUUGACCAAAAUUCAAAAAAAAUGAAAUAAUUAUUUAGUAACACUAAUAUUCUUGAAUAAUUAUUUAGUAACACUAAUACUUCUUGAAUAAGUAGUUUGACCAUAGUUUGACCAGAUUUAAAAAAAAAUAAAAAAAACUGAAAUUUGAGCAUAACUUUUUUUCCUUUUUCAUAUUACGCAUCAUAUUUUGAAAAACAAUUCCCGAAAAAAAAUUCGAAACUAAUUUUUUUUUCUGUUACUAGUAAGUUUGAAAUUUUUUGACUCCAGAUCUUAAAAGCCCCGUAACUUUUUUCUGUUAGGUUUGUGAGGAUUUUGAACAUUUUUAACGGAUGUAACUUUUUGAGUAGAUGCUUUUUCAUAUAAAAAACUUUUUCAUCCGAGUUAGUAUGCAAAAGUUAUGCCCAUUUUACAAAUUCCACAGAGAUUUUGCAAAUAAAGUCGAAAUUCAUAUUUGCAAAUUUUCCCAACAACUAGACCACAAAUCACAUGGGAAACUUAUUUUCUUUUAUUUUUUGACAUUUCCGUCAUUUUCUUUUAUUUUUUAAAACUGAAAAGGCGAUCCACCGGGGGGGGGGGGGUGUUAGAGUUUGAAAAUGGGACCUUUUAGUACCGGUUCGUGCCAUGAACCGGUACGAAUGCCUCAAACGCCAUUAGUCCCGGUUGGUGGCUCGAACCGGGACUAAAGGUCUAACCUUUAGUACCGGUUGGUGCCACGAACCGGUAGUAAUGGGCAUCGAACCCUUUAGUCCCGGUUUGCGGCACCAACUGGAACUAAAAGGUCCAGACGAACCGGGACAAAUGGCCCACGUGGCCCGGCCGGCCCCCUGGGCUCACGAACCGGGACCAAUGCCCCCAUGGGUCCCGGUUCUGGACUGAACCGGGACUAAUGGGCUAACCCGGCCUGGACCAAAGCCCUCUUUUCUACUAGUGGAAAAAACACAAUGUAUAUAGGCCUGAACCGAUGGAUCAUCAGCAUGCAUCUACCAGGUCUUCCUAGGUUACGCCCAAUCGUGACUCGUUCAAUUGGGUCACACAUCACUACCCAAUCAACCACCAACUUAGUUGUUCCUCUCGUCUCCUCUACCCACCCUUCGCAACAUACACCCAUGAUUCUCAGCAAUAGACCAACAUGGAGGCGACAAUGGUGGCCAUGAUAGGCUAGUGAAAAGCACACUGGUGAUCAACCUUACAACACUAAACAGAACAUUGGAACAUGAGGUAACCCCAACUUUGUAGCACUGGUGCACCAUUUUCAUCUACCUUGUAGAAAUGAAAAGUUCAAUGACCAAUAGCAUUGCUGCACCAAGUUACUGGCUUCCAGCACUGAACACACGGGCUUGCAGCACCGCGAUGAUCGAUGGUCGGCCUUUCAACAGUAUUAGUUAACAUUCCACGGCUCGUCUCCAUUUUUAUGUACAUACACAUGAGUGAUAUUGGAACAUCAGUAACGUAUCAACCUUACCAAACAUGAAGACGAUAAAUUUGUUUCUCCAAGCAUAGACGUUACUGAAUAAGCGUGCAACUGCACAUCCACCACAUGAGCCAUAAUUUUUUAGCUCUGCGACAACAGCUUAUAGUUUCAAAAGAGUUUUGAUGAUGGUUUAGAAUGUAUAUGAUCAAAAUAGAUUAAAUGGAGGGGAGGGUGGACUACCUAUGUUGAAUCAGACUAGCCGCAAGGUCACAAGUGCCUUGUCUAAAUAGCCAAAAAGACAAAAGGAGGCCUCCUGGAUUCUCCAUCCUGAAGCUAAGCAUAACUCCAACUCCGGACACGCUAGGGGGCUAAUAAAGGUGCAAUACGCUAGGGGUGUCUUCUGGGUGGGAAGCCCGGUAGCAAGCCUGACUUAGGGCCCAAGAGGCCAAGUGGAGGACCGGUGCAAUAGGGAAGCUCAGGAGCCCAGAUAAGGACUGUUAGAGCAUCUUGGCAGGCAAGCUAAGAUGGCAGUGGUAUGAGAUCUGAUGGAUUCCUUGUAAACCUAGCCAUCGCCACCUAUAUAAGGAGGGGCUCGGGGUUGUCAUUCACAUAUACUCUCGUAGACUAUACUCUCUGUAGCAUUAUACUUCAUCUCCACUCUAAACCCCUCGCACAAGGUGCUCCACCAUGAAUAAAAAUCAGAUACAGAAUGUUGGGCAUUACCUCUCACCGAGGGCCCGAACCUAGGUAAAAACCUUUGUGCGAACUCCCUUGUCGUGUAUCCCUACAAGUUCACCACCCUACUAUGGGUACUCACGGUUUUACAUAAUGUCACAUAGUUAAGUUCUGACACAUUUUCUCUGGGGAGUUGAAGCAACUCAUGGUGUAAGUAGGUGUUGCUUGAAGCACUGAUUCUACUAGCACCUCCUUUCCCGCCUUCUAGAUACCUUGUCCUUCCUAUCCGACCACUUUGCCAUUUGAGCUUUCUUUAAGAUGUUUAAAAUUUCCUUCCUUUGACCUACCCACCACGGUUGGGAGCCCCAAAUAAUGCUCGCUCAAUGCCUUAGGAUCUGUGCAAAGAUAUUUACAACAACUUAGUCCUCCUAUUUUUCUCACUUCCCAAAGAAUGUUGAGGCUUUUUUAAAAUUUCCUAUUUGUCCCGAGGCCCACUCGUAGUCAAAGAGGAUAUAUUUAAGGUUACAAAGUUGCCAUUUGAUGGUUGAAGAAAUACUAUACUAUCAUCUGCAGAAAUAAGAUGGGCUACAUGGGGGUUAGUGCUCCCAAAAGAUAUACCAUUGAUCUCUUUAUCUUUGAGCACUCAUGAGAAAGGCCAAGAAACUCGCAACAUAGAAAAUAAAAAAAUAGGGAGACCGUGGGUCUCCUUGCCAGAGCCCUCUUCAUUGUAUAAAAAAUACAUAACACACUCCUUUCAAUUUGAUAGAAAACUUGGCCAGGGUACCACACAUCAUAAUCAUCAAGAUCAACCUAUGCGAGAAACCAAGUGCCCUCAUCAUUAGAUCAAGGAAAAUCCAAACCACCCUCUUAUAGGCCUUCAUCAUGUAUAGUUUAAUUGCGAACAUUGGAUUUUUCUAUUUCUUGAACGAACAUACUUUGCUCCUGAGUGAUCAUUAUGGAUAGGACAACCUUCAAUCUCUUUGCUAGGCCUUUGAAGCAAUCUGACUGAGUGUGUUCAAUAAGUUGAUUGAUCCAAUUUAAGGAAGUAUCUCCACAGGUAAUUUUGGGGAUUAGGACUGGAACCAUAUCAAUAAAGUUUGUGAAAUAACUCCAUUAAAAGAAUCACCUAUUACUAUGCGUACAUCAUUUUUUAGAAAUAACUAGUGAAAUUGGUAAAAAUAAGUGAGAGGUUUGUCUAGCCCCUGCGCUCUUGCCAGUCAAAUUUAGAAUAGUGCAUUCUAAAUUUCUUCAUCCAUCACGUCCGUGUUCACCCUCUCCUCCAUAUGACUAGUCACACAGGGUCGGAUGUGAGCUAAGAUGUUGUCAGCAUCAGCAGAGGCUUCUGAAGAAAACAACUAAGCAUAGAAAUUGGCCGAAAUCUUCCCCAUCUCAUUGUCAAUAGUACAACUCGUGCCAUCCGCCCUCAUGUUUUGAUCGUCUUCCUUGAGAAAUUCCAGUCGGGAACAUUGCAUACACAUUAUUUGUUCCUGUGCACGAACCACAUGAAGCUACGCUUCAAUCUCGCUGGUCUUCAGCGAGGAUGUCUGGAUCCCAAUGCUCUACCCUUUCCAUCGAAGCUGGAACUUGUGCCUAGUAAUCUCACAACAUACAAGACAAAAUACAGAGCCACUUCAAUGUUUCAUAUCAUUUGUAACAUUGUUACGCUUCCUGUAGAGCUCACUCUGUCUGGAAUUGUUAUCACAUGCACACUAUCAUGCUUCCAUGGGCAUCCACCUCUCCUCAAACGUUAAUGCCCUAUUCUUACAUUUGGUAAUGACUAGGUUUUCUAGCGCUCUAUUAACGAGCAAACCAUGGUCUGAUCCUCCAUGACAACAUGUUCAAUGGGUGUAUCCUACAAUGAAUGCACAAAUUCAUCAUUGCAUGGACCCCUGUCCACAUGUACAUAAACGAUCUCAUCCCGCUUCCUCUUAUUGUCCCAAGUGUACAGGUUGCUACUAAAACAAAGUUUUGAAACACUAUUUUUGGCUACACUCUCCCUAAUGCGCUCCAUUUGUGUGAAACUCCUCAAGUAGUAUCCUAGUUGUUGUGAUUAAAAGAAUUCUUGGUUGAGGUAUCGUUGUAACAGAUAAAUGUAUUAUUAGGAUCCAUUCUCUCGGAGCCUCCCUUAGCUACACAAAUUUUCUUCAAUCUCUCUUCCUAUCCAGUAGCUUUAGGUGAUAAUCAUUGUGACGCCUUUGGUGGUCACCAUCACCUUGCCUCGUCUUAUGAACAAAAGUGCCUCGUCUGCGUUGCUCUAAGGUAGAUGGGUCAUCUUUGCCAAUGGCCUUGCACCCUUUCCCAUAUACAUUUUUUAUGUCUUGCUUCCUUUCAUGCUCCUUUCUCAGGUCCCACUUCCUUUUUAGAUUUAAAUCAUCCCUUAGUUCACAAUCAUGUCACAGAUCUUGCCUGCAUUGGUCCUCCCUUCACUUCAUCUUAGACAGUUACCCUCUACAAGACCAUCUCGAGAAUCCUCGCCAGAGAGAGAGAGUCCAUAGAGGGCGUAUAGUCAUUGUAUGACCUGCACGUAAAUGGACAGACAUGCAACGCUACAUGACCCAUGCGCCCAUACACGCCCUUGCUUGACCUGGUGCUCCCAAAACUAAAGUUCAUGCUUUCUUUCACCGGCCUCUACUUUGUUUUUGUCUGUGAGGAGCCAUGUCCAAGUGAUGCCCUCAACCAUUCACCCAACUGGGGGUGAGGAAUCAUUUUGUGGUUCAAAUCAUCCAUCAACAUGUGCUAGUCUAUCGUAGUCAAUCCAAAAGAGAGGUAUCUUGUCAAAUUGAAAAUCAAACAAGGUCCCCUCAUCUUUUGCUGAAGAGUGGAGAAAGAAGCCUCAGACUAGUGAAAGAAAUAUGAAAAUUCUAUCUCUAAAUCUGAGAUGGUUCCCCCAUAAAUCCAUCCUUCUUAACAUCACUCUUUACCACGCCACCAGGACAAUUCCCAAGAGCAUUCCCAAAAGUAUAUGAUCAUUUAUAUAGGGGAGGAUCGGUAAUUAUCACCCAUGGCUCUGUCAUACAAAACAUUAUCUUCGAUGACCUAGUUUUUUCAUCAUAAUCCUUCAAAACUAUCAAAUUAAAACCAAAUUGCCACAUUCAAUUAUAUAUAGCGUGCUUCUAGACUCCUUUGUUAUGGAAUCUAAAGAAGAAGAUAUUAUUUCUAAUGUGACUUAUUUGGGCUUCCUAGUAGAGUCCCAUGUAUGUUGCAUAGUGCUAGCAAACACGUUGAUGUUGAUUUGCUGGAGUGAGCAUGCCUUUCCAACCACUGACCACCGAGUAGGCCUCGGUUGGUCUUGAAUCCUGAUCCUCAAACAUGAGAUCUAUUAGUUCCUUUUGGUGUCAAGUUCAGGGCUCCUUGUUAAUUUGGUUGUGAGAUUAGCUGCCUCCCAUAAAGCAUUUCCUUUUGUCAGGGACUUUGAAGGUUCUCAUCUUAACGAUCCUUGGUCGCCCUAUUCACUUGAGCUGUCAAUUUACGCCACGCCUUCUCUCCCGUCGUUGUGCAAAGGAGUGGAAGCACCAAGACCAAUCAAUGUAGGAGUUUACAAUGUCAUCACCACAUAGAUGAAUAGAACCCUAACCCUAGCACACUUGUCGGUCCCCUAUAAUCGCCCUUAGCAUUUCUUUUCAUGCUGGGCCUGCCACUAGGUAUUUAUACGUGUGCUUCCAUUGGUACCUUUUUUGCGCUGGAGCCUUUCUGCUACAUUUUCCUUUAUACACAGGUGGUCUUAUCCAAAUCAUAUAGUCUCCUCUAUCUAUAGGAAGCGAGGACAUUAGCUCUUCUUUUUUUCAAGGCAAAUACACUUGCUAGUGUUCAAGCGACAUCGAAAAAAGUCUUGUCACAUGUGAAGACGACUCUAAGAGUGUGACACAUAUAGGUGCCAACUUGAAGAAUAAUGCAAAUUUCAGUAAAUAUUAAUAGCUCCAGGGGGAACGAGCGCACAAAGGAAUCAGCCACCAUAAAUGGAUCAUUUCCAAAGAAACAAAGUCACAAAGAGAGAGACAAGACAUUAGCUUCUUUAUGGGGAACACAUAUAUUUAAAUGUUUCCUUGCUCUCUGAUUAUUAACAAGAAAUAUUUUUUACUAAUAUAUUAUGUGUAAAUCUUGGUAGAUAUGGAAUGUAUUUUGGUCGGUAUAUUUUAAGCAAUCAUAUUAGUUUUUGGUAUGUUGAAAUUAGAAGAAGUUCAUGUGCCUUCAAGGUGUGUGGUUCCACCUCAAAAUUGGUACAUACGAAAUGGUUAUUCUCCCUACAUAUAGCCCCAAUUCUCAUGCUCUCUCUCUCUCUCUCUCUACAUUUUAUAUUCCAGACUACUCCAUAAAGCCUAACUGGUGAAGGUCCAGAAACACCCAGCAGUGACGGGUUCAACUCCCAUUAGUAGUCUAUACUUAGUGGAGGAGAAACAAGCCACUUAUAGGCACGAGCCUGCCAAUGGUGAAUAAAUCAGAAAAGAAAAUCAGGCCAUGGCUAGUCCAAAUCCGGCACCUGCCAACAAUGUGUAGUCUACAGUACUCGAACCUACUUUUCAUCAGUGUGUUACAUCAUGUGAUGUUUGGAGAAGCCAUAGAGUUGGGGUUCCGAAUAUUGAAAACAACAAUGGGGAGUGGCUUGAAGAAUCGGACACUAGUAGAAAAAGGGCCUACAGUCCCAGUUGGUGAGGGCCUUUAGUCCCGGUUCAUGAACCGGGACUAAAGGGUCGGUACUAAUGCCCUGACCCUUUAGUCCCGGUUCAAUCCAGAACCGGCAUUGGUAGAAAAAGAGGCUUCCGUCCAGCCCCAUUAGUCGCGAAACUGUAGGAACCGCGACUAAUGAAGUCUUUAGUCGCGGUUCGGCAGAUGAACCGCGACCAAAGGCCUGGGCCCAGGGCGCUCGGUGGCCAGCUGGUGCACGUGAGGGGCUUUAGUCGCGGUUGGCCAGGCCAACCGCGACUAAAGGUGCCCAAAGGCCUUUAGUCGCGGUUNNNNNNNNNNNNNNNNNNNNNNNNNNNNNNNNNNNNNNNNNNNNNNNNNNNNNNNNNNNNNNNNNNNNNNNNNNNNNNNNNNNNNNNNNNNNNNNNNNNNNNNNNNNNNNNNNNNNNNNNNNNNNNNNNNNNNNNNNNNNNNNNNNNNNNNNNNNNNNNNNNNNNNNNNNNNNNNNNNNNNNNNNNNNNNNNNNNNNNNNNNNNNNNNNNNNNNNNNNNNNNNNNNNNNNNNNNNNNNNNNNNNNNNNNNNNNNNNNNNNNNNNNNNNNNNNNNNNNNNNNNNNNNNNNNNNNNNNNNNNNNNNNNNNNNNNNNNNNNNNNNNNNNNNNNNNNNNNNNNNNNNNNNNNNNNNNNUGUAAGAAUCAGAAGGGUUACUCUUCCUCAAGAGAAGUUCACCUGCACCUGCUUCGGCACGGUUUCAUGCCAAGCUAUAAUUGUUGGACCAAGCAUGGAGAAAGAGGGGUUAUAAUGGAAGAAGAUGAAGAAGGGGAUGAUUUCAUCGAUGAAAGCUAUCUUGCUCAUUUCGGUGAUACUUUCAUGGAGGAUGCUGAAGGUGAAGGGGAAGGUGAAGGGGAAGGUGAAGGUGAAGAAGAGGCACGUGAUGAGACCGUUGAUGAUCUUGGUCGGACCAUUGCUGAUGCACGGAGACGCUGCGAAACUGAAAAGAAGAGGGAGAAUUUGGAUCGCAUGUUAGAGGAUCACAGAAAGUCGUUGUACCCCGGAUGCGAUGAUGGUCUGAAAAAGCUGGGCUGCACACUGGAUUUGCUGAAAUGGAAGGCACAGGCAGGUGUAGCUGACUCGGCAUUUGAAAACUUGCUGAAAAUGUUGAAGAAUAUGUUUCCAAAGAAUAACGAGUUGCCCGCCAGUACGUACGAAGCAAAGAAGGUUGUCUGCCCUCUAGGUUUAGAGGUUCUGAAGAUACAUGCAUGCAUCAACGACUGCAUCCUCUACCGCGGUGAAUACGAGAAUUUGAAUGAAUGCCCGGUAUGCACUGCAUUGCGUUAUAAGAUCAGAGGCGAUGACCCUGGUGACGAUGUUGAUGGCGAGAAACCCAGGAAGAGGGUUCCUGCCAAGGUGAUGUGGUAUGCUCCUAUAAUACCAUGGUUGAAACGUCUAUUCAGGAACAAAGAGCAUGCCAAGUUGUUGCGAUGGCACAAAGAGGACCGUAAGUCGGACGGGGAGUUGAGACACACCGCAGAUGGAACGCAAUGGAGAAAGAUCGACAGAGAGUUCAAAGAUUUUGCAGCUGACGCAAGGAACAUAAGAUUUGGUCUAAGUACAGAUGGCAUGAAUCCUUUUGGCGAGCAGAGCUCCAGCCAUAGCACCUGGCCCGUGACUCUAUGCAUCUACAACCUUCCUCCUUGGUUGUGCAUGAAGCGGAAGUUCAUUAUGAUGCCAGUGCUCAUCCAAGGUCCGAAGCAACCCGGCAACGACAUCGAUGUGUACCUAAGGCCAUUAGUUGAUGAACUUUUACAGCUGUGGGGCAGACCUGGUGUCCGUGUGUGGGAUGAGCACAAAAAAGAGGAAUUUAACCUACCAGGGUUGCUUUUCGUAACCAUCAACGAUUGGCCUGCUCUUAGUAACCUUUCGGGACUGUCAAAUAAGGGAUACAAUGCAUGCACGCACUGCUUACAUGAGACUGAAAGUGUACAUUUGCCAAAUUGUAAGAAGAACGUGUACCUUGGGCAUCGUCGAUUUCUUCCGAAAAUUCAUCCAGUAAGAAAGAAAGGCAAGCAUUACAACGGCAAGGCAGAUCACUGGCCGAAGCCUGCGGAACGCACUGGUGCUGAGGUAUUUGAUAUGGUCAAGGAUUUGAAAGUCAUCUUUGGAAAGGGUCCUGGCGGACAAUCAGUUCCGAAGGGAGCUGACGGGCACGCAGCCAUGUGGAAGAAGAAAUCUAUAUUCUGGGAGCUAGAAUAUUGGAAAGUCCUAGAAGUCCGCUCUGCAAUCGACGUGAUGCACGUUACGAAGAAUAUUUGCGUGAACCUCCUAAGCUUCUUGGGCGUGUAUGGGAAGACAAAUGAUACAAAGGAAGCACGACAGGACCAGCAACGUUUGAAAGACCCUGAUGACCGGCAUCCGGAAUGGUUUCAAGGUCGUGCCAGCUACGCUCUGACCAAAGAAGAGAAGGUCAUCUUUUUUGAAUGCCUGAGCAGUAUGAAGGUCCCGUCUGGAUUCUCGUCCAAUAUAAAGGGAAUAAUAAACAUGGCGGAGAAAAAGUUCCAAAAUCUGAAGUCUCACGACUGCCACGUGAUUAUGACGCAAUUGCUUCCGAUUGCUUUGAGGGGGCUCCUGCCGGAAAAUGUUCGAGUAGCCAUUGUGAAGCUAUGUGCAUUCCUCAAUGCAACCUCUCAAAAGGUAAUCAAUCCAGAAGAUCUACCACGGUUACAGAACGAUGUGAUCCAAUGUCUUGUCAGUUUCGAGUUGGUGUUCCCGCCAUCCUUCUUCAAUAUUAUGACGCACCUCUUGGUUCACCUAGUCGAAGAGAUUUUCAUUCUCGGUCCUGUAUUUCUACACAAUAUGUUCCCCUUCGAGAGGUUCAUGGGAGUAUUAAAGAAAUAUGUUCGUAACCGUGCUAGGCCAGAAGGAAGCAUCGCCAAGGGCUAUGGAAAUGAGGAGGUAAUUGAGUUUUGUGUUGACUUUGUUCCUGACCUUAAGCCGAUUGGUCUUCCUCGAUCGCGGCACGAGGGGAGACUAAGUGGAAAAGGCACGAUCGGAAGGAAAUCAACGAUAUGUAUGGACGGCCAUUCUCUGACUGAAGCACACCACACUGUACUGACCAAUUCCAGCUUGGUGGCUCCGUACUUUGAGAAACACAAGAAUAUUUUAUGCUCGGACAACCCGGGGAAGCCUAAAUCCUGGAUUAGGAAGGCCCACAUGGAGACUUUCGGCAGUUGGUUGAGGAAACAUUUAAUGAAUGACAAUGAUGUUGUAGAUCAGUUGUACAUGUUGGCCAAGACACCAUCUUCGACUAUAACGACUUUCCAAGGGUACGAGAUAAAUGGGAAUACAUUUUACAUGAUCGCCCAAGAUAAAAAGAGCACCAACCAAAACAGUGGUGUCCGCUUUGAUGCAGCAACCGAGAAUGGGCAAAAGGUCACAUAUUAUGGUUACAUAGAGGAGAUAUGGGAACUUGACUAUGGACCCUCCUUUAAGGUCCCUUUGUUCCGGUGCAAAUGGUUCAAGCUAACAGGAGGUGGGGUAAAGGUGGACCAGCAAUACGGAAUGACAAUGGUGGAUUUCAACAAUCUUGGUUACCUUGACGAACCAUGUUUACCUGGAGCACUCCACCACAACAACCCCAUUCAAGAUGGCUAUGCUCGUGUCAUGGUGGAGGACAUAGUCCAAGGGUUUGAGGACCUGGAGAUUGACAUUGCUACACCUGAAGGGGAGAAAAGACUUGGAGAUGUCAAGCGCCAUUUCAUUCUAUGGCAAAAGAAGUUUAUCAAGUUUCCAGGCGAGGCGCCAAGGACAACAAGUCCACCCCCCUACGGUGGUGGCGGUUCACCUACACCUCCAUCACGUCAGCUGACGCCCCCCAGUCCACAACGUCCGGCGGGUGAUCAGACGCCGCCCCCCAGUCCUCGUCCGGCGGGUGAUCAGACGCCGCCCCCCACCUCCGGCAAAGAAGCAGAAGCAGUCCUGGAUUAUUAACCCGGACCCUUAUGUACCUAAGACCACAAAGGUACCAGAGCCAUCACUGAAGCCUCUCCCCACAAGGCCUUGGGAACGUAGUGCCGAGGAAACUGCCGCGGCCGCGGCUGCUGAUCAUGAGAAAUGGAAGGCAGACUGCAAGAAGAAAAGAGAGCCCGAGCCCAAGCCAGUAUUUUCUGAUGAGCAAAAGAAGUGGGCUAAGUCAUUUUUGAGCACACCGUCCCAAGCCGCGAAGAAUCUGCCUGACGACUAUGCACGUGAACUUCGUAGGCAGGCACUCAUGUUGAAGGAGAAGAAAGAGCAGGCGGAGAACCAGGAGAACAAAGCCUUGGAGGAGGCCGAGAAAAUGGAAUUAGAAAGUAAAAAAAGCGGGAAACAAGUUGCCCAGCUCGGGGAACAAAGUAAACAAUCGAUUGCCCCGCUUAUAGUGAAAGCCGCCGGUCCGGAUGACCCCGAUAUCAUAGCAGCUGCGGCAGCACAUGGAUUGACUAUAACGAGUGCCAGAGAACAAGCAGCCAACUUAGGUAUUACUCUUCGUGAACUGUUAGGCCUUGAUGAGGCGCCAGUGAAGGAGGUAGUAAUUACAUAUGUGAAGAAUGGGCCUCUCGUCGAGCCUGCGCAGGAAGAGGAUCUACCUCCACAAAUGAAAGGUCUGCUGAAAUGGUACAAGGGUUACAUAAAAAAUAAAAACGCCAAAGAAUAUAUUUAUGCGGAAGUUAGAUAUGAGCAUCACAUCAAACAUUACUAUGUACAAAUUCAUCUGAGUGAAUUGUUCCAGCUUUUCAAUCUGCGCGAGCUCGACAAAUCUAUCAUCAGUUGCUACGUUCUGUAAGUGAUUUAUUUCUACCCCAUCUCGUUCAUAUUGCCUGCACUAUAUAUAUGUCCUAACUAUAUUGUUGUGUCCGCUAUUAUACAUGCAGAAUGAAGAUUAAGGAAUGCAGAGUAAGGAACAUCCAUGAUGUUGGGUUCAUUGACCCACACAUCAUUAAUGGAUAUGUGUUGGAGCAUCACCCCGCCGACAUGGAGGCAGACCUGUGGCAGUUUCUUACAAAGCAGGAACUCAAAAGUAAUAUUCUAUUUCCUUACCAUUUUGGGUGAGUGUUUCUGUCUUGAGCACAUUCUCUUUUGUUUACUCCAUGCAUGGUAUGUGGCCGGCUAAUCGAUGAGUUAUGCAUGACGUACUGUGCAUGUAUCGUGUCCGCAGGUUCCACUGGAUUCUGCUAGUAAUUAAAGUUGACACCUCAGAAUGUCUCGUCCACGACUCUCUGAAUAAGGAUCCAAAGCUUUGGGGCGGCAUGAGAAGAAUGCUGCAGAAGUAAUUAUUUUCAUUCAUUUGCGCUCUAUAUCGAUCGGCCUAUUUCGUUCAUUUCCUAAUAUCAUGUAACUAAUAACUCUCUUGUUCAUUUAAUUUUCUUUGCCUCGUAGGGUUUGGAGACGGUUCGUAGAUACAAAGGUCGGUGAAUUCAAAAAAGAGCUAGAAUUCAAAAGGUCAAAGGCUAAGAAUGGUGAGGAUAUUCAGCCAGCGGGGACCAAUCUAUGUGCAUACUAUGUCUGUGAGAUGAUCCGGAGAUACACCUCUGAGCGGCGGGUUCCGAGUGAUACCAAUGCUCAGAGGAAUAACCUCCGGAUGAUGCUUAGUCCAGAAGCUCGCUUCCGACCACUUCAAGAGGAACUAACUGGAUGGUUCAGGAGGGAAGUCCUCCAUCCUAAAGGAGAACACCAUUACGAGGACGUAGAACUUUAUAUGCAUUAAAUUAUGUAUGGAAACUUGUUCAAAAUUGUAUAUGAUCAUCCGAUGAUAUUGAAUAUAUAUUGUAUAUUCCUCUUGAAUUCUUUUUGGUUCUAAUUUCAAAUUUGUUUGAAAUUGUACAUUCAUAUGCAUGUAUGUAGUACCGUAGAAUAUGUGAAACUCCUUCAAAAUUAAAAUAAAGCACAAAAGAAAUAAAACAAUACAAAUUAAACAGAAAACAGGUUUAGGGGGGGGGGCUAAAACCCUAAACCUGCGGCGGCCUUUAGUCGCGGUUGGCCAGAAGAACCGCGACUAAAGGUCCUCCGCCCCGACGGCCGCCUGGCGCCCACGUGGACGGGCCUUUAGUCGCGGUUCUUAAGCAACCGCGACUAANNNNNNNNNNNNNNNNNNNNNNNNNNNNNNNNNNNNNNNNNNNNNNNNNNNNNNNNNNNNNNNNNNNNNNNNNNNNNNNNNNNNNNNNNNNNNNNNNNNNNNNNNNNNNNNNNNNNNNNNNNNNNNNNNNNNNNNNNNNNNNNNNNNNNNNNNNNNNNNNNNNNNNNNNNNNNNNNNNNNNNNNNNNNNNNNNNNNNCCAAUACCACUAAUAGAAAAAGGGCCUACAGUCCCGGUUGGUGAGGGCCUUUAGUCCCGGUUCAAUCCAGAACCGGGACAGAUGGGCCUCCACGUGGCCUGUCCGCUGAGCCCAGGCAGGAGGGCCUCUUGUCCCGGUUGGUGGCACCAACUGGGACCAAUAGGCAUCCACGCGUCAGCAUUUCUGUGGCUGGGGUUUUUGUUUUUUUUUUGAAAGGGGGGGGGGUUUGGGGGGUUUUGGGGGGUUAAUUUAGGUGUUUCAUAUAUUGUGCUAUAGCUAGCUAAUUAAUAGAGAGAAGUGUCCUCUCUUUUGUCCGUGCUUGGUCGACGCUACGUACCAUACAUACGUAUAGAGAGGACUAGCUAGACACGCUAGCUAGCUAGUAAGCAAACAGAAGAUCGUCAUGAACAUAUAUGCAUACAAAGAGAAGUGAUAUCGACCACCUCUCCUUCUUCGGGAGAUUGGUCGAACAACAAGUUCUCGUAUAUCUAUCCGACACUACCGGCUACAUAUAUACAAUAAUUAUCUUUUACAAAUAUAUAAUCUCCUAAAAUACGGAUGCGUGGUCCACAUAGUAUUCUCCGUCUUCAGCGAUCACGUGGUCAAGAAAGAAUGCCGCCAAUUCCUCUUGAAUUGCUCGCAUGCGAUCUGGUGCUAGGAGUUCAUCCCGCAUCCGAAACAUCUAAUUUUAAGAAGGGGGUCAAUACAUAUAUAUAUAUGAAUGAAUGAAACUCAACACAAAUGAUGGUAAUAAAAUAAAAUUGUGACUAUUGUUAUUUACGCACUUCAUAUUGUUUGUCGGAGUAGCCCCACUCACAGGUCGUGUGGCGGAUGGACUCGCAAAUGUAGUAUCCACAGAAAUCAUUUCCUUGUUCCUGCCACAACCACUUUACAAGAAAUAGAGGUCAAUCAAACUGAUAAUUAGCAAGCAUGCUAAAUGGUAUUGAUGAAACUAGCGCUUGAAUCACUAGGAGAUUCCUGGAAUAUGCUACUAUAUAGUACUUACUUUCGGGUGCCUAAAUUGCAGCUUCUUCGGUAGUCCCGGAGCUUUUUUGGUGAAUUUUCUCCCAGCCCUGCCAUACAAAGAAAACAAUUACUUGAUAUCAGAAAUGAACAAAGUUGCUGAUAUGGUGGAUAAUGAUCGAUUUAACUUACUUCUCGAGCAUUUCAGUCAUGUCCGCAUACUCCUUGGGAUUUUUUCGCUUGGAGUCUAAGACAGUUACUACUCCCUUCUCAAGCUUAAUCUCUAGGAGAAUAUAGUGGUAGCUGCGCACACAUGCAUAACUCAUCAAUAUUACAUUACUAUAACCUGGACUAAUAAGGAAACCGAAUAUGCCUUUGUGUUCAUUCACUUGAAGGGCUGAGUUGUAAGGAAAGAGUAUUAUAUCUUUGUGUUCAUUUAUUUCCAACGAUCGUAGCAAGUUGGCCUCGGUUUCUUGGGCACGAUAUUGAACCUCAGUUGCAUCUAUGAGAUACGUGUUAAUGAACCCAAUAUCUUCCACUUGUCUUUUCUUCAAUUCGGUGAUCUUCAAUCUGCAUAAUAUAGUGAGGAUAAUUAUAAAUACAUGCAAUGAAAGGGCUGAGUUAUAUAGAGAGACUUAAUGACAGAAGUAGUACUACUUACAGACAGUAGGAGGUGACCGUUGCUUUAUCGAUGGCCAAUUGAUUGAAAAACUGAUAGAACUCCUCAAAUGGAAUAGGCAACAGUUCAAUUCCAAGGAGGUCAUGCUCCUUUUUAACUCUCACAUACAAAGUACUCCUCCCCUCAGACUCUUUGCAGGUUUUCAUGUACCAAUCACGCAAUCUUCGCAUCAUCGUUGAUAGAGAAUUUUCAUCUUUGACGAGAGGCUUCCCGUACUCGUAUCUUUGUAUCUGCACCUCCAAGAUAUCAUAAUGUACAUCGUCGGGCAGGUAAUCUGCAGGAUUGCCAUAACCGGGCACCAUCCUUGGAUCGACGAUGUCGCUAGCAGGCACCUUGAGCGGGGGGCACGAUUGCUUCGCUUGUUCGCCGAGCUGGGCAAUUUGUUUCCCAGCUCGUCGUUCUUUCAUCCUUUGAUCACUUUUAGUACUUCCCGACCUCUCCGCUUCGGCAAAUGCCUUUCCAAUAAUGCGAUCAUAGUUGCCUUUCGGCGGAGACUUGGGUGGUUUUGUCAGGGCAGCCAAAGUGCGCUUCGCUUUCACCGGAUCUACCUUCUCCUCCGGAGGUGGAUGUCUCUUUGCUUUCAACCCUUGAAACCAGUCAUCCACUUCGGUCUACGCGAUCUUUGCGUUUUCCUCCUCGCUCCUCUCGUACGGUAACUUCUCUAGAGUCUUCAGAGAAGGACCGAAUCUGUAUCUUCUCCCGCCUUUGGCUGUACUGCUAGACGCCGGUAGAGUAGACAGAGCGGAUGUCUUCUUUCCUUGAUUACGAGGCGGAGGAGAAGGACUACGACGCGCUAGAGCAGCCGGAGCGGCGGCGGGUCUCUUCCGCCCUUGCUGAGAGGCGGAGAAGGAGGAGGCUGGCUGCUCGGGCGCGCCGGCGCAGGCGGAGAAGGAGGCGGAGUGCCGCCACGCGCCGGAGAAGGAGCCGGCCGAGUGCCCUGAUCGUCACUCGCCGGAGGAGGAGGCGGUGAAGGAGGCGGAGUGCCCUGACUCGUCAGAGGAGGAGGAGGAGGCGGAGGCGUCCAGUUCGGAAGGUUGAUGAGAUCCUUCCGCCAUAGGCAUGGAGUCUUCAGAGCAGAACCCAGCCGAUACUCCCCUUCACCAGUAGGGUGGUCAAGCCGGAGGUCCUCAAAUCCCUCCGUUAUUUCAUCGACCAUCACCUUAGCAUAUCCUUCUGGAAUCGGCCGGCAGUGAAAAGUUGAGUCGGGUUUAGUAGGAUAAACAGAGCCAACAGCCGCCUUGACCUUCAAAUUGCUCCAUUGCGCCAUAAGGUGGCAAUUUUCAGCAUCCGUGAUAGCAUCCACGGGAUAGCUGGCAGGAGCCGUCAAGGCAUGCUCUGGCUGAAGCAGCUCGGUGGAAGCCACGCUGCUUCUCCGCUGAGAUGGCGGGGUAGCUUCGGGGGAAGCUUCGGCAGGUCGUUUGCUGUGAUCUGCUUCUCGUUCCUCUAGCCCCAUUACCCUUUCGUGCAGCGCCUGCAGUUGGCUCUGCUCCAGUUUCUUCCUCCUCUCCUGGGUUUUGUAACCCCCUACGUCCGGAAAUUCAGCCUUCCACGAAAUGGAGCCUGGCAUGCCUCGUGUCCGUCCAGGGUGCUCAGGAUUGCCGAGGGCCAUUGUGAGCUCGUCCUUCUCCCUGUCUGGAACGAACGUCCCUUGCUGCGCUGCUUUGAUAUAUUGCUGAAGCCUCUUGACUGGUAUGUCCAAUUGUUCAUCUGUCCAAAUGCACUUCCCUGUUAUAGGGUCCAAGGAUUCGCUGGCCCCAAAGAACCAAGUCCGGCAACGUUCUGGCCAGUUCAUUGUCUCUGGUUCGAUCCCUUUAUCAAGCAGAUCAUUCUCAGCCUUGGCCCACUUAGGCCGGGCUACGAGGUGCCACCUGACCCCAUGCGAUGGUGAAGCUUCUUCUUCUCAGCAUUUCUCUUGUUUGUCACCGACAUCUUUUUACUCUUUUCCGAUGUCUUGUGGGCCACAAAUGCGGGCCAGUCAUCUCUGAUAUUCUCAUAUUUGCCCUUGAAUUCUGGUGUCUCAUUUUUUUCGACAUACCUAUUGAGGUCUUUCUUCCAAUUCUUGAAUAGGUCUGCCAUCUUCCUCAGAGCAAAAGACUUGAUUAAGGGCUCUAUAACUGGCUUCUCCGGAUCAUCCUCCGGCGGUAGGGUGAAAUUUGACUUCAGCUCAGUCCAAAGAUUCUUUUUCUGCAUAUCAUUGACAUAAGACACCUUAGGUUCUUCGUUCUUAGGCUUAUACCAUUGUUGGAUGCUGAUCGGGAUCUUGUCCCUAACCAGAACCCCGCACUGAGCAACAAAUGCCUUCUUUGUCUGGUAGGGUUCAAUCGGUUGGCCAUCGCACGCGAUUUGUAUGAUAUCAAACUUUUCAUCCGAGCUCAACUUUUUCUUCGGGCCUCGUCUCUUUACCGAAGUUGUGCUUGAUCCGGAGGGCUAGAAAAAAGAACAAAGACGAGAGUUAAUUAAUAUGUGUACAUACCAAAACAAUGAAUGCAUCAAUUAGCUAGUCAGCACAGGCUUAACUAAUAUAUAUACCUGGCCGGACUCGGUUUGGUGAUCACCGGAGCCGUCCUCACGGUCUACUUCUUCACCCUCUCCUUCUUGCACCGACAUUGGGUCAUCGGAGCCAUGUAAAUCAUAGCCAGCUGCUUCUUCACCCUCUCCUUCCAGACCAUCGUUGUCGUUGAGAAACAUCAACGAGGAGAGGGCAUCACUUCCUUGUGCGAUUAUGUCCCUCAACAAUGCUUCUUAUGCUUCGUCUCGGGGGGUGUCCAUAGUUUCUACAAAUAUUUACAACAUGGCAAUUAUUAUUCAAACAUGACAGAUAUGGAUAUAUUAGUGGCAAACGUAGAACUAGCUAGCUAAUCACAAUAAGGAAUCAUAUUAGUGGCCUCGACGCUGCUUCUCUAGGGUUUGGGGUGGCCUCAACAACGCUUCAAGGGUUAGGGGGUGGCCUCGAGAACGCUUCAAGGAGGGGGUAAUAUCGGCCCCCCCACGUGUUGAAGCUAUCGGGAGGGGGUCGGUGUUGAACACUACUUCUAUGUCCCACAAGUGACGUGGGCAUCGACGCCCGCGGUAGGGUAGAGGGUCGUGGAUUGCCGCGCGGUCGAGGGUCAAGGGGUCGAGGAUCGCCGAGGGGUCAGGAGGUUGCCUAGUGUCAAAGGAUUCAACAAAACCAUGUCUUCAUCAUUUGGCGAAAGUAACAGGUGCAUGAUGGUACGAAGCUCUCCAAAGUUAUUUUGGAACGGAGUCCCAGAUAGGAUAAUUCGCUUUUUGGUACAAAGUUCAGCAAGAACCUUCCGAAUAUUGUUAUUUGAAAGGCCUUUACUGAGAUUCGUACAAAAAGGCAAAUUAUCCUAUCCGGGACUCCAUUCCAGAAUAACUUUGGAGGACUUCGUACCAUCAUGCCACGGUUACUUCCGGCUAAUGAUGAAGCCAUGGAUUUCUUCAAUACUUUGACACUAUAGGAACCCUCGACCCUGAAACCUUCGACCCUUGACCCCUUAACGACCCUCGAUCCUGAAACCUUCGACCCUUGACCCCUUAACGACCCUCGACCCUCUACCCUAGUUCCCGACCCUCGACCCCUUGGUGAUCCUCGACACCCUCGUUAUAUCGACAACGACGCAACAUACAUAUACAUGGGAAAAUAAUGUUAUCGGGGAGGGGGUAUCGGUACCCCCCCUCGUGUCAAAGUUUCUUCUUUCUCCUCUAUUCCUUUCUUUCUUCUUCUCCUCUUCUUUUUCUUCUUAUCCCUCGAGAAAGGAAAAUAAGGAAAAAGGAAGAAAAGAGGAAGAAGGAAGAAGGAAGAAGGAGAAGAAAANNNNNNNNNNNNNNNNNNNNNNNNNNNNNNNNNNNNNNNNNNNNNNNNNNNNNNNNNNNNNNNNNNNNNNNNNNNNNNNNNNNNNNNNNNNNNNNNNNNNNNNNNNNNNNNNNNNNNNNNNNNNNNNNNNNNNNNNNNNNNNNNNNNNNCUCGAGAAAGGAAAAUAAGGAAAAAGGAAGAAAAGAGGAAGAAGGAAGAAGGAAGAAGAAGAAGAAAAAGAAGAAGAAAAAAAAGAGGAGAAGAAGAAAAGAAUAGAGGAGAAGAAGAAAAAAUAGAAUUUUUUUUCUAUUUUUUCUUCUUCUCCUCUAUUCCUUUCUUCUUCUCCUCGUCUUUUUCUUCUUUUUUCUUCUUCUUAUUUAUUUCUCCUCCUCUCCCCUCUUCUUCUCCUUUCUUCCUCUUCUUAUUUCCUUUUUCCUCUCAUUCUUUUUCUUCUUCUUCCUUCUUAAAAAUACAUGAAGUAGUAUUGCCUAAUUCAUUGUUCAUAUGAAUAUACAAACAUUUGCAUAUUUACACUAAUUAAUAUCACCAAAAAAAUCUAUGAACAGAAAAAAAAUCCUAAUUUUUCUAAAAAACUAUCUUUUGCAUUGUUCACAUACACAUAUACAUUAUAGCCACAUACACAUAUACAUCACAUAUGAACAAAAAAAUUAAAACAUAAAAAAACAGAGCAUAAAAAUAAAAAAAAGAGCUUAAACAUUAAAAGAGCCGGGCGGCGGCUCACAGCGCGGGGGCAGGCAAGGGCGCCGGCGCGCGGGGCGGGACGGGGCAGGGGGGCAGGGCGACGGCGACGAGGAGCGGGCNNNNNNNNNNNNNNNNNNNNNNNNNNNNNNNNNNNNNNNNNNNNNNNNNNNNNNNNNNNNNNNNNNNNNNNNNNNNNNNNNNNNNNNNNNNNNNNNNNNNNNNNNNNNNNNNNNNNNNNNNNNNNNNNNNNNNNNNNNNNNNNNNNNNNNNNNNNNNNNNNNNNNNNNNNNNNNNNNNNNNNNNNNNNNNNNNNNNNNNNNNNNNNNNNNNNNNNNNNNNNNNNNNNNNNNNNNNNNNNNNNNNNNNNNNNNNNNNNNNNNNNNNNNNNNNNNNNNNNNNNNNNNNNNNNNNNNNNNNNNNNNNNNNNNNNNNNNNNNNNNNNNNNNNNNNNNNNNNNNNNNNNNNNNNNNNNNNNNNNNNNNNNNNNNNNNNNNNNNNNNNNNNNNNNNNNNNNNNNNNNNNNNNNNNNNNNNNNNNNNNNNNNNNNNNNNNNNNNNNNNNNNNNNNNNNNNNNNNNNNNNNNNNNNNNNNNNNNNNNNNNNNNNNNNNNNNNNNNNNNNNNNNNNNNNNNNNNNNNNNNNNNNNGAGCACGGGCAGCCUGACGGCGUCGUCGCGUCGAGCUCGGGCAGCCUGGCGGCGUCGUCGGGGCGGGGAACUGGCGAUGAAAUCUGAAAAAACGCCAAGUCUUUGCUUAUAUAGAAAAGGCUUUGGUCCCGGUUCGUGCCACGACCCGGGACUAAUGCCCCCCUUUAGUCCCGGUUGGUGGGCAUUAGUCCCGGGUCGUAGCACCAACCGGGACUAAUGCACCCCUUUAGCCCCGGUUGGUGCCACCAACCGGGACCAAAGGCCUGUGCUGCCCCGAACCUAAUAUUUAGUCCCACCUCGGUAGUUGAGAGGGAGGCGCACCUGUUUAUAAGGUGCGGUGCGCCUUCCCUCUCGAGCUCCUCUCUUAAGCAGGCUUUCGGGCCUAACCCUGCAAUCUGUGCCUGUGGGCCUACUGGGCCUCCUGCGGGCCUGAAUCCUGGCCCAUGGUAGGGUUUCUAGUCGUAUUCAGGCCGUGGGGGCCCAGUAGGUGGCACUUUUUUUUUGUUUUCUUUGUUGCUUUAUUUAGUUUAUUUUGUUUCUAUUUACAACAAAAUACUUAUUGUUGCUAUAUUUAUUUUUUUCCAGUUUUUUGUUUUGUUUUCUGCAUUAUUUAUUUUCUUUUGUUUUCUUNNNNNNNNNNUAUUUUUUGUUGUUUUUUGCUUUAUUUUUUAAUUCUUUUUGCUUUUAGUUUUAGAAAAAUUAUAAACUUUCUGUUAGUGCCAUUAGUUUUCAAAUUUGAAAACACUUUUUUGCUUUAUUUAUUUAUUUUAUUUUGUUUCUACUUACAACAAAAUACUUAUUGUUGCUAUUUUUAUUUUUUUUCAAGUUUUUUUGUUUUGUUUUCUGCAUUAUUUAUUUUCUUUUGGUUUUUUGCUUUAUUUUUUAAUUCUUUUUGCUUUUAGGUCAGCAAAAUUAUAAACUUUCUGUUUGUGCCAUUAGUUUUCUUUGAAAUUUGUGUGAAUCACAAGUUUGUGAGCUCAACAAGGCGUGUAGAGGGACGGGAUUAUAAACCGGUGUGAGCGCCCUUCGGUUAGCGAGGUUUUCAAAUUCAUAGUUUUCAAAUGAACUCUGAAAAAGUUGGCAUAGCAUGUGCAUGUACAAAACGGACAAUGGUAUCAUACUCGUCUGUUACAAAGUUGGCAUGGUAUCAUCAUAAUAGUUGCGGGAGAAAGUCAUUACUUUUUCUUCGCUUGUGUCGUUUGCUUAUUGCGCCGUAACCAUGGAUAAUCUUCAUCGUUUAUCAGGAUGCUUGGGUCGGCCUUGACUUUGAAGGGGGGAAUUUCAUGAAACUUUUCAUACUCUUCAGACAUGUCUGUCUUGCCCUCCACUCCCAGGAUGUUCCUUUUUCCUGAAAGAACUAUGUGGCGCUUUGGCUUAUUGUAUGAUGUAUUCGCUUCCUUAUCUUUUCUUUUCCUCGGUCUGGUAGACAUGUCCUUCACAUAGAUAACCUGUGCCACAUCAUUGGCUAGGACGAACGGUUCGUCAGUGUACCCAAGAUUUUUCAGAUCCACUGUUGUCAUUCCGUACUGUGGGUCUACCUGUACCCCGCCUCCUGACAGAUUGACCCACUUGCACUUAAACAAAGGGACCUUAAAAUCUACUCCGUAGUCAAGUUCCCAUAUGUCUACUAUGUAACCAUAAUAUGUGUCAUUUCCAUUAUCGGUUGCUGCAUCAAAGCGGACACCGCUGUUUUGGUUGGUUCUCUUUUCAUCUUGGUCAAUCGUGUAAAAUGUAUUCCCAUUUAUCUCGUAUCCUUUCCAAAUCAUUACAGUCGAAGAUGGUCCCCUGGACAACAAGUACAGCUCAUCACAAACAGUGCUGUCACCUCUGAGACGUGUUUCCAACCAACUGCUGAAAGUCCUGAUGUGUUCACAUGUAAUCCAGUCGUCGCACUGCUUCGGGUGUUUGGAGCGCAGACUGUUCUUGUGUUCAUCGACAUACGAGGUAACCAAGGUAGAGUUCUGUAGAACUGUGUAGUGUGCUUGAGACCAAGAAUAUCCGUCCCUGCAUAUUAUUGAGUCCCUUCCAAGCGUGCCUUUUCCAGUCAGUCUCCCCUCAUACCGCGAUUUAGGGAGACCUAUCUUCUUAAGGCCAGGAAUGAAGUCAACACAAAACCCGAUGACAUCCUCUAUUUGAUGGCCCAUGGAGAUGCUUCCUUCUGGCCUAGCGCGGUUACGAACAUAUUUCUUUAGGACUCCCAUGAACCUCUCAAAGGGGUACAUAUUGUGUAGAAAUACGGGCCCCAGAAUGACAAUCUCGUCGCUAGAUGAACUAGGACGUGCGUCAUGAUAUUGAAGAAGGAUGGUGGGAACACCAGCUCGAAACUGACAAGACAUUGCGCCACAUCACUCCUUAGCGUUGGUAUGAUUUCUGGAUCGAUCACCUUCUGAGAUAUUCCAUUGAGGAAUGCACAUAGCUUCACAAUGGCUAAUCGGACGUUUUCCGGUAGAAGCCCUCUCAAUGCAACCGGAAGCAGUUGCGUCAUAAUCACGUGGCAGUCAUGAGACUUUAGGUUCUGGAACUUUUCUCUGGCAUAUUUAUUAUUCCCUUUAUAUUCGACGAGAAGCCAGUCGGGACCUUCAUACUGAGCAGGCAUUGAAAGAAUAUUUCUUUCUCUUCUUUCGUAAGAGCGUAGCUGGCAGGACCUUCAUACUGCUUCGGAGGCAUGCCCUCUUUUUCGUGCAAGCGUUGCAGGUCCUCUCGUGCCUCAGGUGUAUCUUUUGUCUUCCCAUACACGCCCAAGAAGCCUAGCAGGUUCACGCAAUGGUUCUUUGUCACGUGCAUCAUGUUGAUCGAAGAGCAGACCUCUAGGUAUUUCCAGUAGGGUAGGUCCCAAAAUAUAGAUUUCUUCUUCCACAUGGGUGCGUGAUUCUCAGCGUCAUUCGGAACAGCUAGUCCGCCGAGACCCUUUCCAAAGAUCACGUGUAAAUCAUUGACCAUAGCAAGUACGUGAUCACCGGUACGCAUGGCGGGCUUCUUCCGGUGAUCUGCCUCGCCUUUGAAAUGCUUGCCUUUCUUUCGACAUUGAUGGUUGGUCGAAAGAAAUCAACGAUGGCCCAGGUACACAUUCUUCCUACAGCUUCCCAGGUAUAUACUAUCGGUGUCAAGUAAACAAUGCAUGCAUGCGUGGUAUCCCUUGUUUGUCUGUCCUGAAAGGUUACUGAGAGCGGGCCAAUCGUUGAUGGUCACAAACAGCAACGCCUUUAGGUCAAAUUCCUCCUUUUUGUGCACAUCCCACGUACGUACACCGUUUCCAUUCCACAGCUGUAAAAGUUCUUCAACUAAUGGCCUUAGGUACACAUCAAUGUCGUUGCCGGGUUGCUUAGGGCCUUGGAUGAGAACUGGCAUCAUAAUGAACUUCCGCUUCAUGCACAUCCAAGGAGGAAGGUUAUACAUACAUAGAGUCACGGGCCAGGUGCUGUGAUUGCUGCUCUGCUCCCCAAAACGAUUAAGGCCAUCCGCGCUUAAAGCAAAGCAUACGUUCCUUGGGUCCUUUGCAAACUCAUCCCAGUACUUUCUCUCAAUUUUUCUCCACUGCGACCCGUCAGCGGGUGCUCUCAACUUCUCGUCUUUCUUAUGGUCCUCACUGUGCCAUCGCAUCAACUUGGCAUGCUCUCCGUUUCUGAACAGACGUUUCAACCGUGGUAUUAUAGGAGCAUACCACAUCACCUUCGCAGGAACCCUCUUCCUGGGAGGCUCGCCGUUAACAUCACCAGGGUCAUCUCGUCUGAUCUUAUACCGAAAUGCACCGCAUACCGGGCAUGCGUUCAGAUCCUUGUAGGCACCGCGGUAGAGGAUGCAGUCAUUAGGGCAUGCAUGUAUCUUCUCCACCUCCAAUCCUAGAGGGCAUAUGACCUUCUUUGCUGCGUAUGUACUGUCAGGCAAUUCGUUAUCCUUUGGAAGCUUCUUCUUCAUUAUUUUCAGUAGCUUCUCAAAUCCUUUAUCAGGCACAUCAUUCUCUGCCUUCCACUGCAGCAAUUCGAGUACGGUACCGAGCUUUGUGUUGCCAUCUUCGCAAUUGGGGUACAACCCCUUUUUGUGAUCCUCUAACAUGCGAUCGAACUUCAGCUUCUCCUUUUGACUUUCGCAUUGUGUCCUUGCAUCGACAAUGACCCGGCGGAGAUCAUCAUCAUCGGGCACAUCGUCUGGUUCCUCUUGAUCUUCAGCAGCUUCGCCCGUUGCAGCACCAUCGUGCACAUCGUCUGGUGCAUCUUGAUGUUCAGUAGCAUCACCGUAUUCAGGGGGCACAUAGUUGUCAUCGUACUCUUCUUCCUCGCCGUCUUCCAUCAUAACCCCUAUUUCCCCGUGCCUCGUCCAAACAUUAUAGUGUGGCAUGAAACCCUUGUAAAGCAGGUGGGUGUGAAGGAUUUUCCGGUCAGAGUAAGACUUCGUAUUCCCACAUAUAGGGCAUGGACAACACAUAAAACCAUUCUGCUUGUUUGCCUCAGCCACUUCGAGAAAAUCAUGCACGCCCUUAAUGUACUCGGAGGUGUGUCUAUCACCGUACAUCCAUUGCCGGUUCAUCUGCGUGCAUUAUAUAUAAUUAAGUGUGUCAAAAAUCAUUACAGAACAUCAUGAAUAGAUAAUUAAGUGACCAAAUUAAUAGAAGUUCAUCAUCACAUAAAAAUCAAAGUACAUACAUAGUUCUCAUCUAACAACAUAAAGCUCUGCAGAGCAUCUAAAUUAAUUAAACCAUAUAUUGAAACUAUGUAAAACAUUUCAAUGCGAAAACAAAUGCGAUCAUAAUCGCAACCAAGGUAACAACUGAUCCAACGGCAUAAUGAUACCAAGCCUCUGUAUGAAUGGCAUAUUUUCUAAUCUUUCUCAUCUUCAAGCGCAUUGCAUCCAUCUUGAUCUUGUGAUCAUCGACGACAUCCGCAACAUGCAACUCCAAUAUCGUCUUCUCCUCCUCAAGUUUUUUUAUUUUUUCCUUCAAGAAAUUGUUUUCUUCUUCAACUAAAUUUAACCUCUCGACAAUAGGGUCGGUUGGAAUUUCUGGUUCAACAACCUCCUAGAUAAAUAAAAUCUAUCGUUGGUCGGCAUAAUUUUCAUAAACAAUAAAUGAACCAAUAGUUAUGAAAAGAUAAUAUAUACCACAUCCGAAUCGUAGAUAGGACGAGGGCCGACGGGGGCGGAUACCAAAACCAUCGCACUAUAUAAGAUGCAAUAAUAAAAGAAAAUAAUACAAGUAAGAAUAUUUUUCCUUUCAGAAAGAAGAUAAGAACAAGAGGCUCACCACGGUGGUGCUGGCGAUGAGAUUGGCGCGGGUGAUCGACGGCGGUGAAGACGGGGACGGGGCGUGAUGGACCGCUAAACCUAGACAAAUAUUGAGGAAAAUAGAGGUUGGAGGUCGAGUUUGGAGAGGAGAAAGCUUAAGUAGUGUGGCUCGGGCAUUUCAUCGAACACCUCAUGUGCUAUGGAGGUGAGCUAGAGCACCACAAAGCCCCCCCUCGCCGGCAAGAGAAAAACAGAGCACUGGAGUGCUCUGCUCGCGAGCGAGGGGGUAUAUGUAGGUAGCACUAUUGGUCCCGGUUCGUGGCAUGAACCGGGACUAACGGGUAGCCAUUGGUCCCGGUUCAUGCCACCAACCGGGACCAAUAGUGGUGGGCCAGGAGCCAGGCCCAUUGGUCCCAGUUCGUCCCACCAACUGGGACCAAAAGGUCCGGACGAACCGGGACCAAUGGCCCACGUGGCCCGGCCGGCCCCCUGGGCUCACGAACCGGGGCAAAUAGCUCCAUUGGUCCCGGUUCUGGAUUGAACCGGGACUAAUGGGCUGAACUGGCCUGGGCCAUUGCCCCCUUUUCUACUAGUGGGAGCCAAGAAGCCGGACGGAGAAGGCAUCCACCAUGCUGCACCAUUGGCCGAUACUGACCCGUAUGGUGCAAGGACCGAGGUAGAACUGAACACCGUCAUCACCGAGCCGAACAGAUUUUUGAUCGCUGCUUGGAGUGAGAAGCUACUCUAAAAAGUUGAAUUUCUGAAGCUUUGGGAAGCUAGAGGAGAUCAGAACAGGCCCUAAGUCAUCGGUAUUUCAUAAUUGAAUGUUCUCCAUGUCGUGACUUUUGAUGGUGUAAACCCAAAUAAUCGCCGUUGUGAAAUUAAAUUCCUCCCUGAGUCAAACCCACAUCCGUAAAGAUGUGCCACGACAAUCCACCUCAUGGCUAUCUUGGAGUCCUUAAUAUAAUCAAGUGUGCCCAAUAUGGUGACUUAAUAUGUACUUAUUGACCCUACGAAGCUAAUCACCUGUAUCAAGACCCCUUCCUGGUUCUCCUAUAACUAGAUUCCCCGAAACCACGAGAAUCCUUAGAAUGGCAUUACAACUUAGCACCUUUCGUUUUCACAUAGUAAGAAGAGUUGCUCCUUGGAUAGCAUGGUACGAUCAAAGGUGUAACCUGUGUUUCGGAGGGAGUUAUUGUCUCGAAACUUUGUUCUCAACUAUUCCGAUUCCAGCAAGCGGAGGCCAUUGGGUCAUAGCCGUAGCGCACACCCUGUAGUUUUCAAGUGGGGUGAGAUAACUUUGGCUAGGAACCUAUUUUCAUUCUGACGAGCUCCCUGAAAACAAUGUUCGACUUCAUGUGUAGUUGGUGUAGAUGUGUCAUUGCAAUUACACCCCUAGGAUAUCACCAAGUCCUAUGUAUUACGUGACAACAUAUGCCACCAUAUAUUGACUUGAUAAAUUAAAUGGAUUUCACCAAGCUUUCGUGUUACAAUUAUAGUGAAGAUAGUGACUCACAUGUCAGCCUCCCUGACGGGAAGCAAAAUCACUCUGACUUUGGCAACCUAAUUUUUGGUGGGUUCAAGCAAACAUGUUGGAUUUGUAUUUUAUUUAUUUCAACAUAUAUAAUUCAUAUAAAUAAAUCAAUUCAUAAUAGGAGUCUUGGAGACACCCAUGUCAAUAAUGUGAAAUUAUGGGAAAUCUUAUUAUGUGCAUCAACAUAAGCAAAAACUCGUGGCUUAAGAGAUAUGUGUACAAUCUUCCAAUGGUUAUUCCCCCUACUAAAUUCAUGAUGUUAACUAGUUCCCAAAGGUUGAGAAAGAAGUUUAGUCAUGGGAUCAAUGUCCAAUGCAUCAUAUUUCCAGUUCCGAAUUUUUUUUAUUAUGGAAGUUGAGAAAGAAGUUUGGGCAACAUAUUUCCAGACACCUGUCAUGUCUAGGAUCUUCUCAAGCCUAGGUAAGCUAAGUCAUGGGAUCAAUGCAGGCUAUUAGUACAUUGACCCGGUUCUUAAUUCAAGUCCUCCUUGCUUGAUACAAUAUUGAAUUGAAAGUACAUAAUCAAUUUACUUAAGUUGGUGAACAAUAUUGGCUAGUAUAUUUCAACACUCACCUCACAUGCAUCUUUUAGAGGCAUAUAAUGCAUCGUGAUGGAAACAUUUUUUCUAUAGACUAAAUUCCAAUGGAAAAUUUUAAUUAAUUUAACUAGUAGCAAUCUCGUAUGGCAAGGAUAUAUGGCAAAUGAAAAUGAGGGCUCAAAUGCUAAUUGUUGGCACACAAAAGUCAAGUUGUCUUUUUCCUCCCAUGUUGAUCCUCCGUGGUUUGACAUUGGGCAUUACAAAGAGAUCAAGUUAUCUUUACACACCGCUAGAGCUACCAGACCCUGGAUGUUCCAUAUGGUGCAAUGAGUGAUAGCGAGGUAUAUUAGAACAUAUAGUUUACACCGUUAAAAUAAUUAAAUGGGCUUUUUUGCCUACUACGAAAAAUAGUAUUUUAAGAGAAAACUAUGUAAGAGUUUGUGAUCUUUGUAUGUAAAAGUAUUAUUUUCCUUUGCUUGGUGUUCACGCGGUUUCAUUUAUGGCAAAAAUGGAAAAUCAUCGUACAAUAAUUGUUGAUAUUCUUUGCGGGAAAGAGAGAUCUUUUCACUUUUCAGAUCACACAAAGUAUUGUAUUUCUUAUAGGGGUGAUAUACAGUGUUCUAAAUCUGCACUUGUGAUUCGUUGUCCAUUUAAAUUUGGUUUCUUCCACAGAUUAUGUUGGUUUGGUGCUGUAUUUAUCUCAGCACUAAAGUAUACUGAUGUUAGCUAAGUCCAAUCAAAGGCCCAUGUUUUUAUCAUGUUAUACAAAUUAGUAAGCUAAGAUCUUACCAAACUCAAGUUACAUAAGCCCACACUACGUUAAAUACACAUCAUGCAGUACACAUGUUCAUCUUAGUGUUACGUUAUACUUGGCUCCGAGAUAAAUAAUUGUAUCAAUUAUUACUAUCUUUUGCAGCUUGUUUCUGCCUGUUCAUUGUAGAAUUAUCUUAUGUAGUCUCCCAAGGUUCAUGCAACUUGAAUUUUCAUACUUUGUUAGUAUUAGUGUUCACUAGGACUAGGUGCCACUCUGUAGAAGCUGAGGAUACAGAUGGAGAAAGUAGUCAUGGUUUUUUUUUUAAAAGUUUGUUCAUAUCUAUAAGAGGUUUAUGAAUUUUCAGUGUAUAGUGUUGUGAAACCUAGAGUGUUUUAUCUCAUUUAACAUUGAACUACGCUUUCAAGGAAAAACCUUCAUUUGACAUCGAACUAUGCAUGCAGGGCAAACACCCCGUGCUUCGGUGCCACCGCGCCGCGAACCCUGGGAGCUUGACCCUGGAUGGGUGUGAACUUAAGAUUGAUGUCAAGGUUAGGGGUCAGUUAUGGAUAGUGAAUAAAGGGGACGCUGCGAAACUGUUAUUAAUAAUAUGGAUGAAACAUUGCCUUGUGGAGAGAAUAAGAUAUUUCCAGAGAUAUUUAUAAAUGGAUCCAUCCUUGCAAUAGCAGUACAAAAUAUGAUGCUAACAUUUUAUUUUCAUUGUUGUUCCCAUUAAACUUCUGGUGGUGGCCCCAUUAUUCACAGCCUCGCACAUGAAAAUGUUAUUUCGUUCGGGUAAAUGUUGCGUGUCGUUGCUCCUGUAGUUUUGCGGUUUGCAUCUCCUUAAACUUUUGAGUUGGAUUUUGCGAAGUUGCAAUGCAAAUUUGGGAUGCAGGGAAGAUAAUAAACAAUGCUUUCUAAGAGCAUUUGAUAUUGGAUGCGACUCAGAAAGAACGCAUGCAAAUGCAAGAUGCACGAAGUAGUAGGCACAUGUCCAGGUUUAUUAAGAGCAUCUGCACCGGACGCCUCAUAUCUGCCACAAACGCUAGGGCAAACUUCCCGGUCAGUACUAGGACGCAAAAUUGCCACCCAACAGGAUCUGUAAAACCCGGCCCAAACGUCUAGACAUGACCGCACUCCCCAUAUCCAGCCCAUAUCUCGGACGGAUAUGUGGAAGCCCAGAGGCGCCCGGACACACCCGCCAGGUAGGAUCCGGCGAGUGCGGCCCACCCGACCCCACAUAAAUUGGACCCUAUCCGCACUCCGAGCGAAACCCAAGCGACAUUCAACUCCACUCUACUCCUCGCCAGGCCACUCCCCUCCACCCACAAGCCCCAUUUGCGGAUCUCCCACCAUUUCGAGCCGUUGAACCGGAGAUCGUCCCACGCGGCCCCAAGGAGGAGAUGGUCGACUGCCUUGCGCUUCUCCACUACCGGAGGAGUCCGCCCAGCAGGGGUCGAAAUCCAUCUGGCGGGAAUCCAUUGCGUCUGCCACAAUGGCGCAUGGAUAUAGCCCGAGGGCAGUUGCGGCUGCCUUAGCAGAGGCAGUGCAGUCCAUCUGGAGUCGGAACGCCGUGGAGGGAUACGCAACCACUUUGUUGGCACACUGAGAAAGAUAUGCACACCCGCUUAACGUCUGCUACAAAUAUGGUGUGGCGCAUCCACCGUGUUAGGCAAUGGGCACGGGAGCCCGCGGCAGCCCUCGUGCCAGACGCCAGUGGGGCAGACUCGCACUCUUCGGUGCCUCGUAUCGUGCCCGGCAGUCCUUGGCGCUGAAAUCAUGUCGUGUUGGACGCGGCCGGCUCCACCAUCAUGGAUCAAUCAUCGACCUCACAUCCACGAACGACAGGAGGGCACGGGCUCCGACGAGAAAGAGUAGGCCAUGGGAGAUGGCGCCGACUCGAGUUUCUUUUGCCGGGUCGUGUCCCAUGUCCUACUCUACCUCACCGGAGACCGACCCUCCACUUCGACAGGCUCAGACAACCAUCGGACAUGGACAGGUUCGGAACAACAAGGACAGUCGCUGGCGCAAAUUUAGACUACAGCCGUCGACACGAGGUGAGCGCGGCACGAGUUAAUCGCUGAAGAGGUUGGGCCGUUCUGUCGCCCGUGGUCGUACAGUUGCCGACGUAGUCGUCCAUGACCACCAGAUCGACACCGCCGCCACUGCAAGUCUAGGGGUCUCUGUAGUGGCUGAAGUCAUUUUAGUGUAUUUUCUUUGUAUUGUGAUGAUUGCAUACUGUGUUGCGUAUUGUGGCGUAUUUUCUUUGUAUUGUGAUGAUUAUAUACUGUACAAUGUAUUGUGGCAUAUUUUUUGUGGUCUAUUUUUAAAAAGAAAACUACAAAUAGCUAAAAGUGGUGUGCAGAAUAAAUUUAUACCCGCCACUACAAAACAAAUGCCAGGACUGACACAUAUUUUUACCCACCAUUAAUAGUAAUGCCCGCCACUGCGACAAGAUCGAGGUCGAUGGCGGGCUGUUUGUAACGCCCGCCACUGUUAUAGUCAUUUGUGGCAGGUGGAGCGCCCGCCACUAAUGCCAUGUUGCCAGUGGCAGGCGCCUCUGAGAGCCUUACCCGUCAUUGCUAGGCUUUUGAUGCCGCCACUGCUACGCAUUCCUGCGAUAGUGUGCAAUUGCGUAUCUAGUAAAACAUAUACAACUAUCCUCCCAACAAACAGUUUCGUCCUACCAUGGAGUUAUAGUCGGGUUGAAGACAUUCAUUUAUAAUCGGAAGUGACGUUGCAGUUGCAUAUCAAGUAGGAGAUAUUUAACUGCCCUAGUGACAAAACACUUUUGUUCCCUAAGUUACAGUCGCAUUGGAGACAUGCAUUAUCGAAACGACACCACCUGUAGUUGCGUGUUUGGAGUUAGACAUGCAACUAGCUCCACAAUAAUAAUCUGAAUUUUAAGUUUUAUUUAAUUUUAAAUUAAAGAAAAAAGAAAAGCUGAAGAUAUAAAAACAGAAAUAGAGAAAACAAACAAUAGGAAAAAUCCUAAAAAAGGCAAAAACAAACAAAGGAAAAAAAUGUUUGAAGUUUCUAGAAGCUUCAUAAAACCAGUAGAAAGAGUCCUACAUGGGGCGGCCCACUCACACAUGUAAAAAGAGGUGGGCGAGGUGUAUGUCGACUAGCUCAGAGUUGGGGAAUCCUAUUCCGCACAUAGGUCGCUACGUAGCCACCUAGCGCGUACCCCUCGGGUUUGUGGUCCUCUUCGGGUCGGUCCAUUCCAGGUUCUUCCCCAUACCGGUUUUUAGGAAGGUUCUAGACCUUUUUUUCUAUUUUCUUUGUUUCCUUCUAGUUUUUUCUUUAUUUUAUAUUUUAUAUAUUACUUCUUAUUUUCUUUUAUUUUAAUUUUCCUUUCUGGUGUUGCAAACAUAUUUUCAAAUUCGUAAACGUUUAUUGAAAUCAAGAACAGUUUUUGAGUUGACAAACAUAUAUCCAAAAUAAUGAACAUUUUCUAAUUCGACAAUACAUUUUGAAAUCACAAAAUAACAAAAAAACUAACUUUUGAGGACAUUUUUUAUAAAUUCUGAAAAUGUUUGUCAAUCGGCCGACAUUUUUUGAAUCUGUGAACAUUUCUAUGAAUUGACAUGAUUUUUUUGAAUUGGCAAACAUUUUUUGAAUCGAUGACCAGUUUCUGAAUCAAUGAAUAUUUUUUACAUGAAUGAACAUUUUUUUAAAUUCACAAUAAAUUUUUUUGUGAACAUUUAAAAAACUUGUUGAAUAUUGCUUGUAUGUCAACUUCCGUCCUGAUUAAUUAAAUAAAGUGGUGAUACCCAUCAAAAGAAAAUAACUAUGGUUGGCACAAAAUUUACUGCAAAUUAAUCAUGUGAUGAAAGACUUAGACGUGACAUAGUUUUUAUGUAUCCUGAUAAGUGCCACACGUCAGGGACGUUCUCAUGACAACUUUGAACAUUUUUUAUGACAAGUUUAGUUGCACGAGGAUGGCAAAUUUAAUUGACAAGCAUGAAAACAUUCAUGCUUUAUUUUAUUUUAAUAGAAACUUGUCGUGUGUCACUGAAAUUUGCCAUCCUUGGAUGACAAGAAUUGCCAUAAAAAAAGUCAGGCCCAAAGUGCAAAGCACCUGACGUGUAAGACCUAUCAUUUGGAUACUUUAUAUCUAAGAUAUUAUUUACCAUAACCAUAGCUGAGACAUUUGCCCCAAUGCAGGCGGGGCCGAUGAAAAGUCGAACCCCUUGCCAACCUACUGAAAAGGUGUACACGGUCUCCUUGGCGCCUCUAGGGAAAUAGCGCUCGUGCAAACGGUAUCCAGCUGCGUUAGCGCCGGCCCUGUCUGCCUCGUCUUCUGUCAACUUAGGGCUAUGCAAGCAUGGUGAAUCCCGGCCUUUGCAGCGGGAGGGCUUUGUUUUUUAUAUUUUUAUAAUUUUUUUUAGGGUUUGUGUUCUGUUUAGAGACGAGGCGGUGACUGCUCUCGAAAAAUGGAAUAAGAUUCUUCACGCCUAGCAUCUCGUUUUGGUGGUGCUUCUAGCGUAGUUGGAGGGCGAGUGAAAGUUUGUCUACGGGGAUCUCGCGGGAGUCGGUCGGCGUUUGUCUUAGGUGGAUCCACGUGAAUCUGGUCUUUGUUCGUGUGUCGACAGGUUGGAUAUUCCUGUCGACGCAUCUUUUCCACAACGGCGGUUCCUGUUUUGGUGGGUUGACCCUACAGGGAUUUAGCAUGAUGACUUUCUGACUGUCUAUUAUAGAAGUUUUGCCCAGCAUCAAUGAAGGAGGGGCGAUGACGAUGACGCGCCAUCUGCUUGAUUCUGUUUUUGUAAUCAUCCUUGGAUGGUCUACUGACCUAAAUAUAAUUUUUAUUAUUUCUAAUACUCAUUGUACUGUUGUGAUCGAUGAUGAUGAAUAGAUUAGAAGGUUUUCUCAAGAAAAAGAAAAAAAGACAUUUGCCUCAAUAUGGGUGACAUCUCCUGGCUUCUCCCGUUUUCUAUAUUUGAAGCCUACAAGUUCCUGGAAUUCAGCUCGGCCCGCCAAAACCAUCCCUUCUUCGCCCUCCUCCUAUUCCCUCCGCACCCCUUGUCCGAUCCAUCGCCAUUUGCAACCUCGCCAAGCCAGCCUCCUUUGCUCCGUAUCUGCCUACCAAUGCUGUCGUCGAUGUUCGGGACGCGGCCGGCGGGGGAGCCGGACCCGCCGGAGCCCAAGCCGGAGCCGUCGGGGCGGCAGCUCUCGGACGGGGACCUGCUGGAGGAGCUGGUUGCCACCGUGGGAGCCGCACAGGCGUUCCAGGAGUUCCGACGGUCGCACCGCAAGGAGUGCUUCAACCUGCUCCGCUGGCUCCAGCUCGUGCUCCCGCUCAUCGAGGAGCUCCAAGAGGCGUCCCCACCCCGCCCGCUCACCGACGACGCCCACCGCCGCCUCGCGCUCCUCAGCCGCGCCUUCCAGGCCGCCCGCCGCCUCCUCCGCUGCUGCCAUGACGGCAGCAAGAUCUUUCUCGUGCCUAAUCGAUCGCCUCUUCGAUCGCGUCUCGUCUCCUGCCGUCAAGGGAUUGCCGGGAUUUCUGAUUCGUCUCUGGUUUUCAUGGUCGCAGUCGCUGGAGAGCGAGGCGGUGCAGGGGAGGUUCCGGGCCGUGUACGAGAAGCCUCAAGGGGUAUGUGGCGACCAUCGGCAUGCGACUGAUCAGGAGGAGGAGCAGGCAUGUGAGUGGCCCUGCGAGAACCGCGGGGGCAGGACGAAAAUGUCACUUGCACACCACGCUCCUCCUCCUCCAUCUCUUCUUCAUAGUCAGAGCCCUGGAAGAAGAGGACCCUGUGAUCACAGCCCAUUUUCCAGCAUGCUUGUGUGGACGCAACUCCUCCUGAGAGUCAUCAGAACCACCACGACGAGAGGCGCGGGCAGAGGUACCCCCGGCAUCCUUGUGAGCGGUGUGCUUGAUUUUCACCAUCAUGGGACGAACCUCACAAGAUCAGGAAGUGGGGCGACGGAGAGGAGGGGAGGCCGCGGCGAUGCAGCUCCCCCAGGCGACGGUGAGGGAACAAUCACCCUCCAGGCGACACGGCAGUGGACUCAAUUGUGGGGAGGGGGAAAAGAGGAUUGGGCAAACGCUCGGCCUGACCCCAAAGUAUUUAUGUGAACCACGGUCGGAUGUCCGGGCACUGGUGGACGUGCCAGGCGACGGACCGCCGGAGAACCUCGGUCAUCCGAGACCUGGGGAGUGAUUUGGGCGGUGCACGAUUUCUGGACAAGCAACCGGACAGCCCAGUGACUCCGGACGACCGGAACCUGCGAGUCAUCAGACUUCCGAGAAGCGUCAGACGACCAGUGGCAAAAUUUUGGCAGAUAGCACACAAAAUAUCUAGAGGAACCAAAAUACAAGAAUGGGUAUAAGACAAAAUAGUAUGGUUAAUCAGACAUGUAAGAUACCACAUGGUAAGCAACUAAACAGACAUGAUAAGAAUCCCCAAACAUGAUUGGACAUCCUCUCUUUUGAGGAGAGUCGGUGCCCACUAGGCCACAAUGUGUGAGUAUAAGUGUCGUGAUGGCGCGAAGAUAGUGUCCUUGGGCUCAAUAACUACUCCAUCACUUGAAGUGCCAUAGUUCGAAGAACAUGAUAACUUUGAGAGUGUUUGUUUUAUUUAUGCAUUAUAUAGGGUGAGAGUACUCAUGAGUUGAGUGUCUCCCCCUAAACGUAUGCCUACAUCUACACAAGACAUGAAUAAAAUGCAUGGAUGGGUACUAGGUUUCACAUAAUGUUGUCUAGCUCCAAGAUACCAAGUUCACGCCUAAGUUGACAAAACCUUGCUUCAUCCAAUGGCUUGGUGAAAAUGUCUACAAGUUGCAUAUCUGUGCCAACAUGAGCAACAUCAAUAUCACCCUUUCCCACAUGAUCUCUUAAGAAAUGAUACCUAAUAUCAAUGUGCUUGGUGCGGGUAUGAUCUUUGAAUUCUUAGCAAUAAUGAUGGCACUUUCAUUAUCACAUAGAAGAGGCACAUGUCUAUAGGUGAUACUGUAAUCCUUCAAAGUUUGCCUCAUCCAUAUUAAUUGAGUUGCACAACUGGCGGUUGCAAUGUAUUCGGCUUCGGCAGCGGAGAGGGCAACACAAGUUUGUUUCUUCGAGGACCAACUUACCAAGGAGCGUCCAACAAAUUGACAUGCACCGGAGGUGGACUUAUGAUCCACUUUGUCUCUAGCCCAAUCCGCAUCCGUGUACCCAAUGAGAUCAAACUUAGCAUCCUUGGGGUGCCAUAUAGACCCAACUUUGUGGUGUGAACAAGGUAUCUAAGAAUAUGCUUAACCGUCUUAUGAUGACUUUUCCUAGGGGAAGCUUGAAAGCUAGCACACAUGGAUACACUGAACAUGAUGUCUGGUAUAGAUGCACAAAGAUAAAGCAACGAACCAAUCAUAGAGCAGUAAGUAGAUGUGUCGAAGGGAUACCAUUUGUGACUUCAGUGAUUACAAUUUUGGUUGGCAUGAGCGUCUUACAUGGACUAGCAUCAGACAUGCCAAACUUCUCUAGAAUAUCCUUGAGGUACUUUGCUUGAGAAAAUAAUAUUCCUUCUUGAAAUUGUUGAAUUUGGAAUCCGAGAAAGAACUUAAAAUCCGCAUUGAGUGACAUCUCAAAGUUCUUGGUCAUGGAAACCACAAACUUCUUGCACAAAUGAAUGUUAGGACAAUCAAAAAUGAUAUCAUCUACAUACAUUUGGCAUAAGAUCAAAUCAGCCUUGUCCCUCUUAGUAAAAAGAGUGGGAUCGAUCACCACUCUCACAAAACCAUCAUCAAGUAAAAACUUAAGAUGAUCAUACCAAGCACGAGGUGCUUGUUUGAGGCCAUACAAAGCCUUAUGAUGUUUAUACACAUAGUAUUUGUGAUCGGGAUCAACGAACCCAGGUGGUUGUAAUACAUAUACUUCUUCCUGUAGAGGACCAUUAAGGAAAGAACUCUUCACAUCCAUUUGAUGUAAUGUAAAACCAUUGAAAGCAGCAUCAGAAAGUACGAUGCACAUAGAUUCAAGACGGGCAAUGGGAGCAAAGGUCUCACCAAAGUCCAAACCUUCAACUUGUGAGUACCCUUGUGCCACUAACCUUGCCUUAUUGCGUAUGAUUACACCAUUCCCAUCUUGCUUGUUCUUGAAAAUCCAUUUUGUUCCAAUGACAUUGUGUUCCGUAGUUGGCCUCUUGACUAAUGACCACACUUGGUUGCAUCCAAAGAUGUUCAACUCUUCUUGCAUAGCAAUGAGCCAAUCGUUGUCCAUCAAUGAUUCUUGUACCUUGAGAGGCUCAACACUAGACACAAACGAGAAGUGAGCACAAAAGUUUGUCAAUUGUUUACGAGUGACUCUACCUUCUGAUAUGCCGGUGAUAAUUUUAUCAACAUCAACACGACUGGGCACAUGGGGCAUGAUGGAGGUUAGGGUUUCAUGAGUUUAACUUCAUGUCCAUCAUCCACAUCCUCAACAUAUGGAUCAUUAAUGUGUGGUGGAAGAUCUUCCUCUUCAUAUUGCAUUUGUUGAGGUUCAUCAUCAAUGAUUGCACUUUCUUGUUCUUGCACUAGGUGAUGAUCUUGCUCAUGGAGAUAAUCAUGAUGAGGGACUUGAUCAUCUUCUUGUUCUGCAACUAUGGGCAUUGGUUGAACAAUAGGAGCUUGUGAUGCUAUGGGUGUUGAAGUGGUUUGAUGAUGUGCGAAACUUCCAUCUUCUUCUUCAUCAUCAUGAGGUUCUUGUUCCAUGGGAAUAAGAGCACCAACACCCAUGGAGAAAAUAUCUUGAGACGAAUCUUCUUCACCUACAUAACUUAGAUCAACUUGCUCCCCAUGGGAGUCAUUAAAUUCAUCAAACACCACAUCACAAGUUUCUACAACACAUCCAUUGGAUUUGUUAUAGACUCUAUAGGCGUGAGAGUUUGAUCCAUAACCAACAAAUAUGACCUCAGUUGUUUUGGAUUGAAAUUUUCCUAACCGUUCUCUUUUGUUGAGUAUGAAACAUGUGCACCAUAAUACACGAAAAUACUUGACAUUUGGCUAUUUACCGGUUAGGAGCUCAUAUGGAGUCUUUUCCAAUAUUUUGCGGAGAAAGAGCCGGUUUGAUGCAUGGCAUGCGGUGUUGACAGCCUCGGCCCAAAAACUAUGUGGCGACUUGUAUUCAUCCAACAUGGACCUUGCCAUCUCCACAAGUGUACGAUUCUUCCUUUCUGCAACACUAUUUUGUUGAAGCAUGUAUGGUGCAUAAUAUUGAUGCUCAAUCCCUUCAUCACUAAGAAAUCCUUCCAAGGUGUAGUUCUUCAACUCGGAGCCAUUAUCACUUCUUAUUGCCAAGAUUUCUUUGUCAAACUUGUGUUGUGCUUUCUUGGCAAAAUAAUGAAGGUGAUCUUCGUCUCGUCCUUGGAAAUGAGGAAAAACAGCCAAGUAUAUCUUGAGUAAUCAUCAACAAUGACAAAUCCAUACUUUUUCCCAUGAAGACUAUCCCAUGAAAGAGGCCCAAAAAGAUCCACAUGAAGGAGCUCCAAAGGCCUUGAAGUAGACACGAUAUUCUUGGGUGGGUGCUUUGAUUGAUGUAGCUUCCCGGCUAUGCAUGCACUACACACAUGAUCUUUCUCAAAAGAGACAUUGGUUAGUCCAAGGAUGCGAUUACCCUUUAAGAGAUCUUGAAGAUUUCUCAUGCCGACAUGGUCUAGCCGGUGAUGCCAUAGCCACCCCUUGUUGGCCUUGGCCAUUAGACAAGUUGCAUGGAAUGUUCUCUCUUUCGAGAAAUCAACCAUGUAAAGUUUGCCAUCCAACUCUCCAACAAAGGCCACUUCGAGAGUAUCUCUCUUAAAGACUUUCACAUCUGUUAGUCUAAAGAGUGUAUCAAAGCGAACAGAAGCCAGUUGGCGAACGAAAAGCGAAUGGUAUUUAAGGGAUUGGACAAGCAUGCCAUUUGCAAGAGACAUGUCAUUUGUGAUAGCCACCUUGCCCAAACCGAGUACCUCUCCUUUUGAUCCUCCACCAAACAUAAUGCUCAUAAAUGGUUGAAUAGCUUCCAUGAAAUCGCAAAGCAAUGUGCUAUCUCCGGUCAUAUGAUUUGUGCAUCCACUAUCGAUCACCCAUUUUACUCCACCAGAGAAAGCAACCUACACACAAUUAUGACUUGGUUAGAGGCACCCAUUUUUCAAUGGGACCUCUCAAGUUAGUCACAAGGGUCUUAGGACCCAAAUAGGAUAGAACCGGAAUGUAUUCUGAGGACCAACAAUUUUGCAUAAACUUCUCCAUCCUUAGUUUUACGGAGUACAUAGGAUGGAGGCAUGAACUCUUUUGGCUUGUUGAGAGUGGACAUGCCCCUAGUGGCCUUCCCACUCACAACCUUACCUCUCUCCUUAUGUCCUUUUUAUGCAAACAUUUCUUUUAGAGGAGUGGUGCACUUUUGAGAUGACGUCUUCUUCUUGCUUGUGCUUGGGUCAAACCCGAGCCCCUCUUUGGAAAACACCUCAUAGUGUUGGCUCAAUACCUCAUUAAAAUUCUUUUGUCUUGAGCACAUGUCAUGAGUCCUUUCUCGAUUUGCGCCUGGAGAAAGCGAUUUUCCUCAAGAGUAGAUGGUAGGUCACCACUAGAGUUAGUAGUACAAGCAUCAACAUUGAUAAUAGGAGAAGAGUAAGCCUUGGCUAGAGUUUCAAGAUAGGUAAGCUUGAGUGUCUCAAAAAUCUUUGUAAGAAGAGUGAGCUCUUCUUCCUUAGUCUUGAGGGACACGGAUAGAAGCUCACAAUCCUUGGAGAGAGAAGCAUCAGACUCCACAAGCUUACUUUCAUCAUUCAUCAACUCCUCGCAAGAAUCCUUUGCCUUUUUCAAGGAGGCACGCUCUUUAGCAUGAACAUCAAGGUUAGCACCAAUUUUCAUGCAUAGUUCAUCAUUUCGGGCUUCCUCAUAUUGGACUUUCCACUCAAGGAUUUCAUAUUUUUCCUUUCCUCGGUGACGAUGGUUUUGAGUUCCUUAAUGGUGAUAGUGUGCUUACUCUCCAUUUCCAUAAGCAUACGAAACAUAGUGAGCUUCUUUCCUUUGAGGGAGCACAUGAAGUUAUUUAGUUUAGCAAGCAUAGGAUCAUCUAUAUCGUCAUCAUCAUAACUAUCCUCCGCAUCAAGAUACUCAUCACUAGGAGUAGAAGGAGUGAAGAGAUGAGGGUUUGAUCGUGGGGUUACCUUGACCUUGUCAGGAGAGUUUUGGUCCUCUCCAUCUUCUACCACGGCCUUUGCCAUUAGACACUUGUGAGCGUUGACCUUGUAGUCUUUCAUAUAGUCGUAGGUGACAACAUCACUACUCUUGUUGACUAGCCUCAAAGUGUUUUGAGAAUCUUGAGCAACUCCGGCAACACCACUAACAUCAUCUGUAUCGGAUUCUUCAUGAGCAACCAUUACUUUCCCAUCUCUCUUCUUGAGCUUGGAGUUCAAAGGAUUUGGAAACUUUUUCUUGGGAAAGGUCUUAGGAGACCUUGGUUUAUCUUCUCUCUUCUCAUAAGGGCAAUCGUUUGAGAAGUGAUUGGUUUCUUCACAGUUGUAGCAUUUUCUCACUUUCUUCUUCUGGAAUCUUCCCUUAAAUUUUCCCGCGCUAAACUUCUUGACAAAGAGAGCAAUGUCUUCAUAUGAAGGGCUCUUGUCGGAGUCAAUCUCAUCACCAUCUUCUUCUUCACUUUGCUCUUCUUCACAUACAUACUUGGCCUUCAAUGCAAGAUUGAUCUUUGAUGUUGGGGUACCGUGCAUGACAAGAUGUUUUGUGGCAUUUGCCAUUGAUUCUUCAAAUAGUUUGAACAUGGAUAUGAUGUCAUCCAGGGUCAUUUCCUUGAAUCCAUGGUGUUGUCUUAUGUACCAUACCAUUUGGUGAUGAUAUGGAGCAAGAGCAUGAAGCAACUUGUCCACGAGAAAUCCCUUAGUCAAGUUGAAUCCAUCUUGUGUCUUGUCACAAUCACAAGACUCGAUGUCGGCGGUGAGAGUCAUGAGAUGUUCAAGGAGCUGCAUGGGGGAUUCACCAUUAUCCAUAAUUUUUUUUUGCAAUUUACCCUUGGCAAUUUCAUAUUGAGCAAGCCGGAGUGUGGAGGUGCCGGUCUUGGUACUCACAAUGCUAUCCCAUAAUUCCUUGGCACUUGUGAUGUGUAUGUAUGCUCUCCUUUGCUUGUCAGUCAUACCUCUCCUUGUGCACAUGAUUGCGGUCUCAUUGAGAUUCUUUUCAUAUACUUCUCUUGGUGUAAGAUUCUUCGGGUCUACAACUUGAUAACCAUACUUCAAGAUCUCCAACAUCUCGUCAUUUCCAUAUCGAAGAUGAUCCUGCAUAGCAACUCUCCACAAAGUAAAAUCGGUUGUGUCAUCAAGUAAAGGAGGUUUGCCUUGAGGUUUAUAUGUUGGUUUCUCUACUUGAGUCUUGCAUAAAGCCAAGGAACACUGGAGUGUUCAUUAGUAGGAGGUUGUUGGCCAAGUGAAGGAGUAGGCACAGUUGGCCUCGAGGGUGCACCACCAGAAAGUGGUGCAAGCAUCGUGGUCAAUGUGGCUAGUCUCAUUUGGACCAAGGACUCAAGAGAAGAAUCAUGCUCCUCCUUUUGCUUAGCAAGCGCCCGUUCCAGGUCCCCAGAAGUGAAGGACUUGUCUUCCGUGGAAGCCGCGCCCUUCUCCUGCGGAUCCGCAACAAGGGGAGUCCCAUCGGGGUUCAUCUCGCUCUAGAGCGGUUAAGCCACAAGAAUAGAGCACAAGGCUCCGAUACCAAUUGAAAGGAUCGAAAUGGACCUAGAGGGGGGUGAAUAGGUACAAUUACAAAUUUUAAUUAUUACUUAGCAAUUUUAGGCAAUAAAGCAGAAUCUAAAAGUGAUCCUAACAAGUGUAAGUAAGAUGCUAAGAGCUAAGCAAGGUAAACAAGUAACACAAGUAUGUGAGUAAGCAAACACAAUAUGAUAUAUGUAAGGCCUAAGAGACAAGUAACCACAAGUAGGAAGUUAGGGUUAGGGAUAACCGCAACUUCGAGAGACGAGGAUGUAUGCCGAUGUUCACUUCCUUGGAGGGAAGCUACGUCACUGUUAGAGAGGUGGAUGUUACCACGAAGGCACACCAACGCCAUGAAGGCUCACCCUAUUCUCCCUUGAGACAAAACCACGAAGGUGUUUCUCAAUGACUAGUGGUAUACCUUGGGGUGAUCUCCAAACCCUCACAAACUUUCCGGGGGUGAUCACAAUGAACAAUUCCUCUCCGAAUACUCCUACUGCCUAGGAGUCUCCAACCUCCAAGAGUAACAAGAACAAUGGGGAAAAUCUCAAGACUUGCUCAAAUCACGAAUUCCUUUGGUGCAAAGAGGGGGAAGGAGUGGAUCUAUCACUUGGGUAGACAACUUCUCUCAAUUGGCCUCAAUCCCUUGGGGAUCUAAGAUUUGGUAUUGGAGAUUGAGAGAGAGAGUGAAAUGUGUUCUGAGGAUGUUUGAAGUGAAUGGUCAACCCUCUCACGGGAUAGGAGAGAGAUAUUUAUAAGUGGCCGUUGGAGCCCAAAACAGCACAACAGCGUCAGACAUCCGAUGCACAAUGGAUGACCGAAGUCUCGGCAGACACCAGACGUCCGACAAGGAUCGGACGUCCGAUGUUUUGGCACGGUAUAGUUGGUACCAGAUGACCGGAGAAUCCCGGACAUCCGAUUUUUAGGCUCGGUGGAGAAGUUACUGGGCGAUUGAAGUAUAUCGAAUGACCGAUGUUUUGCCACUAUAUAGAAUAUACCGGAUGACCGAAGGGUUCCGGACAUCCGAUGUUUUGGUUCUGAUGGAAGAUUGUCGGACAUCCGUUGUGCACCGGAUGUCCAAUGUUUUGGUUUUGAUGAAAGAUUGCCAAACGUCCGGUGAAUGUUGGACGUUCGAUGUUUUGGCUUUGUAUAGGAGAAGUCGGACGUCUGGUGAGUACCGGUCGUCCAACAGAGAUGAAGACUAGAUAAUGAGCUUGAAGUAGAUAUUGAGCAAGACUCUCACAAGACCCCAUGUUCCCCUCUUAAUAGUGUGGGAUCCCUAUACUCAAGAAUAAACAUAAAUUUAGUCUUGUUUCUUCGUUCUUGAUGAAGUUAAAUAUUUCCUAACUCGUAGUCCACACACACAAUGGAUUCUGAGGGGAUUAAAACCUGAGAUAUACUUGACAAACUUUGUUAGUCCCCUAUGAGUAUAUUGUCAUCAACAUCAAAAUAAAAUUAAGGGCAUGAUUGCACUUUCACUUGGGCCGUCCAACCCCCCAUGUAUUAGCGCAUCGGGUCAGGGAUGCGGCAGGGACAGCGGUGGCACUCAGCGCGGUAGCGACUAUGACAGCGACAACGAUGACUACACCUGGUUCUACAGGCUCCUCGGCACGUAGAAGGCGGGAAGCGGCGGCGACAUAGUAGUGCUAGACGUAGUUCUCGUUCUUAAGUUACUUUAAUUUUUGUUUUCAAGUUUUUGUACAAAUGUCAAUGAAAUCGCCUAGUUUGGACGAAUUUGUGUCCUGUUUGGUCAAUUUUCUUUUUCAAAAAACAACGUCUGGGGCGACCUGGGGGCAGUGGCCGAGAACCCGAUCGGCCCCGUACCGAAAUUAUUGCCUGUUCACCUCUAGGCGGCGCUAUUUCUAGCCCAUGGGGGGUCAAAUGGCUGAAACAGGCUCCUCCUGCAUUGCAUGCUCGACUUGGCUCGGUUCUUUGACAUCUUGGAUUUGCUCCGUCCACUACUGACACACCUCUGUUCAUGUUCCAUCGUCCUGAGGUUACUAUGUACCUACUGGUUUAUGUUGAUGACAUUAUUCUUAUUAGCUCCUUAGUGACUGCCGCUGAUCAUCUGCUGUCUGCUCUAAGUGGUCGUUCUGCCGUCAAGGAUCUAGGUGCUCUCCAUUACUUCCUUGGUCUGGAAGUUUCACGGUCCCCUGCUAGCCCGACUCUCACUUAGCAUGAGUAUUCCUUGGACUUGUUGCGACAUGCUGGUACGUUGCAAUGCAAGCAUCCUACCACCCCUAUGUCUGCGACUGAUCGGUUAUCAACCUUGGAUAGUGCCUUGCUUCCUUCAGACAACCCUACAGAGUACCGCAGUAUUAUUAGUGGCUUGCAGUACUUGAAUAUCACACGACCGGAUAUCUCCAAUGCAGUCAACCGUGUGUGCCAGUAUCUUCAUGCUCCUCGUACUUCACACUACUCAUCUGUGAAGCAUAUACUACGUUAUCUCUCUCAUACCGUCUCCUAUGGCUUGCAUCUUUGGUCUACCUCCUCGAGUGUUCUCUCGGCAUUCUCUGAUGCAGAUUGGGUUGGGAGCCUAGAUGACCGGCGAUCAACGAGGGGCUAUCCUGUCUUUUUUUAUCGCAACCUGAUUGUCUAGAGUGCAAGGAAGAAGGCUACAGUAUCUUGGAGUGGCACUGAAGCAGAUUACAAGGCGGUUGCCAAUCCCACGACUGAGCUUAUUUGGGUACACAACCUCUCAAGAGUUGGGAGUCUCUCAAGAACAGCCACCGGUUCUUUGGUGUGAUAAUAUUGGUGUGACGUAUCUUUGAUCUAAUCUAGUUUUUCAUGCUCGUCCCAAGCACGGAGAAGUUUAAUAUCACUUCGUGAGGGAACGUGUUGCACAAAAGCUUCUUCAUAUCAAGUUCAUAUCCUCCAAAGAUCAACUUGCUGACAUCUUCAUGAAGCGACUUCCACAACCUCAGUUUGAAGGAUUUAGGCUCAAUCUUUACUUCCUUUGUACUUAAGGACACAGUUAAGCACUAGUGGAAAAAAGCCUAACUAUGGCGUGGCAAAUAGUACCUUGCUGGCGUAGACACCCAACCACUACUAGGGAAAACCUUAUACACAUAAUCUUACCAACAACGCGGUUUAAAAUAAGGCGCUACUGCUACUUAGCAGUAGCGUGUGGCAACAAACCACGCUACUGAUAUCUGCAUAGCAGUAGCGCGUUAGGAGGAAACAACGCUACUACUACAGUUGCCACGACUUUGCCGCGCUAGGUCCUAGGUAUUAAGAACAAUUAGUUAGUGUUGAUUAUAUAUGACUAUGAUGAUGAUGAGAAGUUUUUAUUAUGGCUACAAUGUGUUAGAGUUGAUGAUGAUGAGGAGGAGGAGGAGAUGUUAUUAUGAGUACUGUGAUCAUGAUGAGGAGGAUUUGUUAUUAUAACUAGUGACCAAGUUGUUAUAUGAUGUCUCAUGGAUGGAAAAGAUGAUGAGGAGUUGUUAUAUGAAAAUGAUGUAUUAUAAUGAUAAGUUGUUAAUGAUAUUAUGAUGAUGAUGAUGAUGAUGAGUUAUUACAUCAUUGGGUGAAAGAACCGUGGAUUAGUUUCAAGUUGAUGGAUCCAAUUUGACCAUUUGUCACUUUGGAUCAAUCCACUUGAAACUAAUUCGUGGUUCAUGGUCACUUUGGAUACAUUCACUUGAAACUAAUCCGCGGUUCUUUCACCCAAUGAUGUCAACUCAUUAUGAUGUAAAACCAAACUCUAAAUUGCUAUUGUAUGAAAACUUGUGUAAUGGUGUAUGAAUACGACAUAAAACAAAAAAGAAAUAGAAUACGUAAUAAUAGUAGUAGCGCAGUUAGAGAGCAGCGCUGCUAGUAACUUCCAGUAGCGCAUUGUACCAAAAGUGCUACUUCUAUGUAUGUAUAACAGUAGCGCGGGAAAACCCACGCAGCUGCUACACUUUAGUUGUAGUGCUGUAGAAGUACUGCUAGGAUUUUUACUAGUGUACGCCACAAACAUGGUGCCAUUGUUAAGAUAUAGUGGUGGUGUAGGUUGACACAUCAGUAGUAUCGUACAUCGUGCUCGCGUGUAACCAGUGCAGCGCCAGCACUAAGUUCAUCAUAACUCUAGCGACCCUACUUGUCCAAUACCAGCAAAUGAUUUUUUUGGUAAUAAUUUUUUCUCAACACUAUCUACUUACUUAAUAGAUACUAUUGAACACAAUAAACUCAUCAACACUAGGUACUUAAUUAAUAGACUGUCAUUACAGAAGAGGCUUGAGAACUCAACAAGUUGAUAUUAAUUAAACUUCACAAAAGUUGCUCACUCAAGUACUCUAGUUACUCGAUCAUCAUCAAAUAAUAAGAUGAACUAGUCUUCAUCAAGGAGUAUACCCAGAUGGAGAAGCUUCUUUCUAUCCCCCUCUCCUUCUCUUUCGAAAUGAUCUAUGUCCAUCUUGAGGUCAAUCCUCUCAUUCAUGAGGUGUCUCAUCUCCUCCUUCAGUUUAUCCCGAUCCUCGACGAGCUUAUCCCUCUUGUCCCUAAGCUGAUUAGUCUCCUGAAUGGGCCGAACAUUCUCCUUGUGUAGUUGUUUAAUCUCCCCCUUGAGCUCGUCAUUUGCCCCUUGCAUGCUCUUGAUGACAUACUCAUAAGUGUUUAAGAAUUCAUUGUUGGCCAUGUCCACAUCGCACACCGACUCGUUGUUACCUCCAGAAUUGGUCGUGACCUACAAACAGAAUGCGUAUACGAUCAAGAUAAUAUGCAACUUCAUAUCACUGAAUAAAUAUUGCAAUGUAUAGAACUAAUUAAACUAGAUAGCAGGUAUAGAACUAAUUAAACUAGAUAGCAAUGUAAUGUGUAGAACUAUUGGACUGUGACUACAUUUGCCACACUAUUUUGCCACACCUAACUUGGAACAUUACUUUCGAGUGGAAAUUUUCUUUGGACAAUCAACUAUUUUGCCACACCUAACUUGGAGCAUUACUUUCCAGUGGAAAUUUUCAUUGGUGAAAAAGUAGUACACAACAGAUUUUCCCCAAGGUAUUUAUGGAUUACAGUAGCAACUCAAACACUUUGUUUUAGAAUUUAAAAUGCUUCCAAAGAUGAUGACUCAAAAAAUAUAUCUACCUUACACUACACUAGGGAAAACCCUAGUAGUAUAGCGCUUGAAAUAUGCAUAGCAGUAGCGUUGGGUCCAGUGCUACUGCUAUCGCGCUACAUCUAAACCCUAGUAGUAGCGCUGGUAUGGGCAGCGCUACUGGUAAGUUGUAGCGACCAGACCUCAAACGGUCCGAUCUCUAUGCUUCAGUGUCAUCCCUGGAUUAGUAAUGCUGACACGCAUAGUACUUGAAGGAUUUAUAACAGAGUGGCAAUCACACACUUAUUACAACGAAUGUCUCAAAAGAGAACUUAUUACAAUAAAUAUGGCUUAAGGCCAUCUAAUAAAGAUAACAAUGGAAGGUUUGGAAGAUAAGUGAGUCCAUCAACUCCAAUGUCAUCACUGAGCAUAAGACCACGAUCCUAAGGCAUCUUACUUGUCGUCUGAAAAGUCUGCAACAUGAAUGUUGCAUCCCGGAAACGGGUCAGCACAUGGAAUGUGCUGGCAAUGUAACACAUAGAGAGUAAUGAACAUAAUAAUGCUAUCACUACAUGCAUAUAUGGCUGGUGGAGAACUCUAUGGUUACAGUUUUGCAUAAAUCUAAUUUUUCCCUACAACAAAGGAAUAAAUUUUAUUUAACUAUCAUGGUGAUUGUUAAACAUUGAGAAGGUAGACACCCUCUCAAUCCCAAUUAAGCAUCAUCGUUAAACCCAACAAAUUAAAUUAAAGUAACAUGAUGAGAUUCACAUGAUAAUCCAAGUACUAGAUACUCAAAACGUCUAUAAUCGGGGACACAACUAACCAUGAUUACUUUGUACACUCUGUAGAGGUCUGCGCACUUUUCCCCACAAGACUCGAUCUCCUCCGUUGGAUUUCUCGCACUACAAGGUGUUUGAGAAACGGAUGACCGAGACAUGGUCUUUCAGAAGCGUUUGCACCUUACGAUCGGGUAGAAAGUUACACCUACUUUCCCCUACAUCUGCUAGUCUACCACUGUAAGUGUUCACACGACUUAAUCAACUAUGCUAGAGCCCAUAGUAUCUUGUGGCUGCACAUGGAAGUUUCUAGCAUGAAUAAUCUCAUGAUCUGUUUGAGCCUGGGUGGCGGUCCAAAAAAACAGGCAAUCGCUGGAAUACCCAGGUGCCUCAAUCCACCCAGAUGUGUAUUAAAGUUGCCACCUUAAAUAAACCAUUUAAUAAUAAUCUCACAUCUAUCAUGGAUUCACUCACCCAACCCACGUCUACUAGCAUAUCAUAGCAAUAAAAGCAAAUGUAGAAGUAACUCCCAAAGGUUUGAUGAUAAAACAGGUAAUAGGUACUAUCUCAUCUACUUCUGAAAACCCACAUAUUAAUUAGAUCCUAAUCAUGCAACUUUUUGACGAUGGAUCUAAUGCAAUAAAACUGGGUAGUAAAGAGGUAUGAUCAAAGUGUUACUUGCCUUGAUGAUGAUCCGUGAAACCUAGAGAUUCGAAGUAGCAAGCGGCGCACUCCGGGUACUCUAUCGCAAACAAACAAACAAGCAUACAAUAAGUACUCAACUAAUGCAUAGGUAAAACUCAAAUAAGAGAUCUAACCAGAAAGUGCAACUUAAGAACUCCGGUUUGCAAAAAGAAUCAAAUCAAACGAACCAACGAAACUCAAACGGCGAAAGAACCAAGCUUCAUUUAAUAAUCUAGACCUAAGUCCAAAUUUUACAGUAGCCAAAACUUGUUUGAGUUGGUUAAACAGAAAGAGGGUUUCGAGACGAAACUCUAGGCGCUUGAAUCGCCUGAUUCCGAUAAACGAGCGAAAAGAUAAACUAAAAUGAAAAUCGGACCAGAAAUCACAAUCUAGAAUAAUCGCGGAAAAUCCGAGAAAAAUAAAAACUGACGAACAGUCUAACGGACAGACCUUCAUUGACUUCAACUAAACGACGAAACUCAUCUGUUAAAAUGAACGAUCGAGCGAACGCUCGCUAAAUAAAUAUACCGGAAGAAAAAUAAAAAAACCGAUCUAAAAAAAACGAACCAGUUUUCUCUAGAAAAACGGAGCGGCGGCGGGCGGCUACCUCGUCGGAACUCCGACGGGGUCCGGCGGCUUCCGCGGGUCCCGGUGGCGGCGGGGCUCCAGGCGGCGGCGGGAGGCGGUGGCGGCAGCGGCGAACGGCGGCGGCGGCGCGAACGUCGACGGCGGCGCGAACGGCGGAGGCGGGAGGCAAGGUGGAUUGGGUGGCGAGGUGGGGCUGGCGACGGUGGUAUUUAUAGGAGGGGGGCGACAGUGGCUUGGGGAAGAGGGCACCUGGGUCGGGGUCGGCCUCAGGAGGCGUGCUCCGGCCGGACUCGGCGGCGGCGGCGGGGAGGACUUCCCUCCCGCGAGGAAGGCGGCGGCGGCGCGGGCCUGGCCCGGCUCGGCUGGGCCUUCGCCCAGUCGGGCGCGCAGAACUUUUUUUUUAAAAUAAAUUCCGCAGAAACUAAGAAAAUUCUAGAAAAUAAAAUAAAAUUCUAAAAAUGCAAAAAAAAAUUUCACCGUCUAAAUAAAAUAUUUAGGACGAGAUGAACAUUUUCUUGGCCCUCAAAUGCAGUUUUGAAAAACGUGCAAUUUUUCCUAAAUUCAAAUAAAAUAGCGAAAAACUCCGAAAUAAAAUCUUAUUUGAUUUUUUUAUUAAAUCCUCAAUAUUUCUUUAUUUUUCGGAAGUCAUUUUUUCCCUCUCUCUUAUUUUUAUAAUCGAAAUAAUUGAAGAUAAAAUAAAUAAAAUCAAAUGAUCCUAUUUUCAAAAUUUGAGAAAAAUCAAAUAUGAAAAUAACGAAAUUCCCAACUCUCUCCAAGGGUCCUCGAGUUGCGUAAAAUUUCUAGGAUCAAGCCAAAAAGCAAUAAAAUAUGAUAUGCAAUGAUGAUCUAAUGUAUAACAUUCCAAAUUGAAAAUUUGGGAUGUUACAAAUCUACCCCCCUUAAGAUGAAUCUCGUCCUCGAGAUUCGGGUUGGCUAGCAAAUAGGUGAUGGUGGUCCUUCAGCAGAUCUUCCUCUCUCUCCCAUGUGGCUUCAUCCUCGAUGUGGUGGCUCCACUAAACUUUGCAAAACUUGAUAACCUUGUUGCGUGUGACUCGGUUGGCAAAUUCGAGAAUUUUGACUGGUUUCUCCUCAUAGGUCAAAUCAUUAUCCAACUGAAUCGCUUCCAGGGGCACUGUAUCUCUUAGCGGUAUAUCAGCCAUCUCUGAGUGCCAAUUCUUCAACUGGGAAACCUGGAACACAACAUGAACUCCUGACAAUCCUUCUGGCAAUUCCAACUUGUACGCAACUUCUCCCACGCGCUCCAAAACUUUUUAUGGUGCCACAAAAUGUGGCGCUAACUUCCCCUUAACUCCAAAGCGCUUAACUCCUCGAAGUGGAGAUACACGAAGAUAAACUCUGUCUCUGACUUCGUAAACUGCCUCCUUGCAUUUAGAAUCCACAUAGCUCUUUUGCCUGGACUGGGCUACCUUGAGCCUUUCGCGAAUCAACUUCACCUUCUGUUCAGACUCCUUAAUCAAAUCUGGUCCAAACAAUUGGCGAUCUCCAACUUCAUCCCACAACAAUGGGGUCCUGCACCUUCUUCCGUACAAGGCUUCGAAAGGGGCCAUCUUCAAACUGGAUUGAUAACUGUUGUUGGAAGAGAACUCUGCAUAAGGCAAAUUCUUGUCCCAACUAGACCCAUAAUCUAGCGCACAAGCUCUCAGCAUAUCCUCCAAAAUCUGAUUGAAUCUCUCGGUCUGUCCAUCUGUCUGCGGAUGAAAGGUUGUACUGAUCUCUAGCCUGGUACCCAAAGUUUCAUGCAACUGAUUCCAGAACUUUGAGGUAAACUGGGUUCCUCUAUCUGAUACGAUGCUCCUCGGAACUCCAUGCAUACAUACGAUCAUGGUCAUGUAUAUCUUUGCCAACUUAUCACUUGUAUAAGUGGUCUUCACUGGGAUGAAAUGACCUACCUUCGUCAAACAAUCGACUACAACCCAAAUCGAGUCAUAGCCUGAACGAGUCCUGGGCAAUCCUGUGAUAAAAUUCAUUCCUAGUUUAUCCCACUUCCAUUCGGGUAUCGGCAAUGGCUGUAGCAAUCCUGCUGGCUUAUGAUGUUCUGCCUUCACUCUCUGACAUACAUCACAAACUGCUACGUACUCCACAAUAUCCUUCUUCAUUCCGGUCCACCAGAAAGUGUCCUUCAAAUCCAGAUACAUCUUGGUAUUUCCUGGGUGAAUCGAGUAUGGCGAAUCAUGGGCCUCUUGUAGAAUCAACUUCCUGAUCUCCGGGUCAUUAGGCACAUAAACGCGGUCCUCAAACCAUAAGGUAUCGUGCUCAUCCUCACUAAAUCCUUUAGCUUUUCCUUUGCUCAUCCUCUCCUUUAUAGUGGCAAUCUCCUUGUCAGUCUUCUGAGCUUCUCUGAUCUUAUCCAUCAAAGUCGACUGAAUCUCCAAUGCUGCAACAUAGCCUCUCGGGACUAUCUCCAAAUAUAGCUCACGAAGAUCCUCAGCUAACUCCUUUGGUAACUCUCCAGUCAUGAGGGUGUUGACAUGGCUCUUGUGGCUCAACGCAUCGGCUACUACAUUAGCCUUUCCGGGGUGAUAAUGCAAUCUCAUAUCAUAAUCCUCGAUGAGCUCCAACCAUCUUCUUUGCCUGAGAUUCAACUCCUUUUGCGUGAAAAUGUACUUCAAACUCUUAUGAUCCGUGUACACCUCACAAUGGUUUGUAAUGAGAAAAUGUCUCCAUGCCUUCAAUGCAUGCACAACGGCUGCUAACUCCAAAGCAUGUGUAGCAUAAUUCAACUCAUGGGGCUUAAGCUGUCGUGAGGCAUACGAAACAACUCUUCCCUCUUGCAUAAGCACUGCUCCAAGUCCUCAACAUGAAGCGUUUCAAUACACUUCAUAAUCCUUGCGCUGAUCUGGCAGAAUCAACACGAGUGAUGUAACCAAAUGUUUCUUCUACUCCUGGAAACUGGCCACACAUUCCUCAGUCCACUUGAACUUGGUGUCCUUCUUCAACAACUCCGCCAUGGGCUUUGCAAUUUUUGAGAAAUUCUCAAUGAAUCUCCGGUAGUAUCCUGCAAGUCCAAGAAAACUUCCGAUCUCUCCAACUGUUGUUGGUGCUUUCCAAUUUGUCACUGUGACAACUUUGGUGGGAUCUACUGCUAUUCCUUCUCCAGAUAUAACAUGUCCGAAGAAUCCAACUUCCUUCAACCAAAACUCACAUUUGCUGAACUUGGUAUAUAACUGAUGUUCUCUGAGCUUCCCAAGUACCAAACGCAAAUGCUCCUUAUGCUCUUCUUCAUUCUUCGAGUAGACCAAGAUAUCAUCAAUGAACACUACGACGAACUUAUCCAGAAACUCCAUAAACACCUUGUUCAUCAUGUUCAUGAAAUAGGCAGGUGUGUUAGUCAGACCAAAUGACAUAACGGUAUACUCAUACAGCCCGUACCUGGUGGUAAAAGUUGUCUUAGGUAUAUCGUGCUCUCUAAUCUUCAACUGGUGGUAUCCUGAUCGCAGAUCGAUCUUGGAAAAUACCUUAACUAUUUGCAAUUGGUCAAACAAGUCAUUGAUCAUCGGCAGUGGGUACUUGUUCUUGAUUGUUACUUCAUUCAAUCCUCGAUAAUCAACAACCAUCCUCAAUGAUCCAUCCUUCUUCUCCACUAGAAGCACUGGCGAGCCCCAAGGUGAAGAACUUGGGCAAAUAUAACCUUUAUCCAAUAACUCCUUGAUUUGCUUCUUAAUUUCCUCCAAAUCUUUUGCGGGCAUCCUGUACGGUCUAUUAGCAAUUGGACCUGUGCCUGGAAAAAGCUCAAUCAAAAACUCACUGUCUCUAUCUGGUGGCAUGCCUGGCAAUUCUUCCGGAAAUACAUCGGGAAAAUCUUUCACCACUGGUACUUCCUCCUGUACAACUCCUGAUAAGGAAUUUACGUGCGUCCUCUUUGGCUCGUGCCGUGAUACAUACUUGAUCCUUCUCCCUUCUGGGGUGGUAAGCAAAAUCGACUUACUGGCGCAAUCGUUGUUUCCUCCAUUCAUCGAUAGCCAAUCCAUACCCAGAAUCACAUCCAAACCUUGCGAUUCUAAAAUGAUUAAAUCCGAGGGGAAGACAUGCCUACGUAUACUCAAUGGCACUUGAAAACAUCCUCGACUGGCCAUAUAGUCCGCUCAUGGUGAGCUUACUAACAUAGGUGUUCUAAGAACCUUGGUGGGAAGUUUAUACUUAUCCACAAAUCCCCUUGAUAUGUAUGAAUGCGAUGCACCAGUAUCAAAAAGAACGAGUGUAGUAAAUGACUUAACCAAAAACUUACCUAUUACUGCAUCUGGCUGAGCUUCAACCUCCACCACGUUUACGUGGUUCACCUGUCCCUUGUUGAAAGGGUUCGGCUUCUUCCCAGAGCUUCCAUUGCCAUUUCCAUUCUGGGCUUCAGGACAUUCAUUGGCAUAAUGUCCAGUCUUCUGACAAUUGUAGCAAGUGACUUGGCUCAGAUCUCUCUUGGCUAGGGUUGAUGGGUUGGUACGUUUAUGGCCGUUGCUUCCUCCAUUCUCAUUCCCAUUCUUGAGGCCAUUAUGAUUGUGCGAACUCCCUCCUCCAUGGGUAUGUUGAAAAUGUCCUCCCGAUUUCGGGGUAAAACAUGGCUUCUGCUAAGCUCCAGAAUUGUACUUCCCUUGUCCAUACUUCCUCUUGUGAUUGUCAAUCUGCUGCUGCUUCCCUUCAAUCAUAAGAGCUCUAUCUACCAACUCCUGGUAGUUGUUGAAGGUUGCUAUCAUUAACUGCAUGCUCAGCUCAUCAUUCAGUCCUUCCAGAAACUUCUCCUUCUUAGCUGCAUCUGUAGAAACGUCAUCUGGGGCAUAACGUGCUAGCUUACUAAAGUCAUCCACAUACUGGCCAACUGUACGUCCUCAUUGGCACAAGUUGCAAAACUCACGCUUCUUCAUGGCGAUAGCUCCUGCCGAAACAUGUGACAGUGUCGAUAGGGUAUGUGGCUGUAAAAUUCUCCCACCAUGAUUCUGCGGGUCCAUCAAGCUGAUGUGCGGCAAAACGCACCUUCUCCGCAUCUGUGCAUCCUGCAGUGGUUAACUCCCUUCCCAUCUUGCGGAUCCAAUCAUCUGCAACUAUCGGCUCGGUGCUACUGGAAAACACCGGUGGAUUAAGCCUCAAGAAAUGGGCUAAGUGAUCAACAGGUGGUGGUGGUGGUGGGUUGUUGUUGUUCCCCUGAUUCUGGUUCCGGAGUAGUAACUGCAUCAAUGCAUUCUGCUGCUGGAUCAACUGGGUGAGCUUCAGUGGGAAAGCAAAUCCAUUGUCACGUCUCGGAGGCAUCUAACGAUUUAGAAAAAAUGAUAAUAUAUAAUAGAAUGAGCCCUAGAAGGAAAACACUACCCAUAUGCACAUGAGACAAAUGCAAGCAGUAUCACUUCAAGCAAAAUCAAAAAAGGGCAUACAACGGUCUAGCUAAUCGUUUCAAAAGUGCUCAGACUAUACUAUAUACAUGGGGGAAUACUACUACUGUUUAUGGUGGUCGACGAGAAAAACUGCUCCGAUGAAGACUCCAUGAUAUCUGCUCCAGCUUCGUCAACAUAGUCAUCAUCGCUAUUGUCUGGGUCCGAAUUGGUGUCGUCGAUGAUGAUGUAGUUCUCCGGAAAAGUGCAAUCAUCGUCUUCUCCUCUAGUCGCGGAAAAUCUCAUGAAUACUUUUAGCUUCUUCUUCAGAUCAUCAUUCUUCUCCACAAGCGUUGCUAUUUCCUCCUCAUAUCCAUCGCGUGUAGACUUGAGUUCUUCCUCCAGUUCCAUGAUCUUGGUCAGAGCCUUCUUCAGAUCUACCAUGCUUGCGCACAUCUGGUUCUCCUGGCGACGAAUGUGCUGGUUUCACUCCUGGAUGAAAGCUGCAAUUGAUCUAUCCUUCCUGGUGCUGAUCAUCUCCCAUUGCUCAUCUCGGCGCCCAGAAAUCAGGUAGAUAGUAUCCUUGAGAUCCUUGUGGUAAACUUCUCCAAUGUGUCCCAUGGUGAUGUGAGCUGCCAUGCUCUUUCCUAAACUCUAGGUUUGUGCAUCAAAGGAAAACUCUAUGGGUUCAGUGACGUGCAUGAACGUCCUUCCUGGAAAUUGAACUUGAAUCAUCCAACGCUCCUCUUCUGGUAAAGUGGCGUUGUAGGUCCCGAUGAAGCUUGGUACUCCGAUGUUCACGACUUAGUGACUUCCUUCAAGUGGCGUCCAAAGGGUGUAUCUUCAUCCGGUUGCAUGAACUUGCUCCUUGCAUCCGCCAUCCUAAAAGAAUAUAAUAGAUGAGGAAUCAGAAAUGACAAGAGUGAGUAAUGAUCUAGGGCUUUUAGCUUAGUGGUCGUGUCCUACAGUCAGCAUGUGCUUUUAUACCAUCUUGUAGCGACCCGACCUCUGUGCUUCAGUGUCAUCCCUGGAUCAGUAAUGCUGACACGCAUCGUACUUGAAGGAUUUAUAACAGAGUGGCAAUCACACACUUAUUACAACGAAUGUCUCAAAAGAGAACUUACUACAAUAAAUAUGGCUUGAGGCCAUCUAAUAAAGAUAACAACGGAAGACUUGGAAGAUAAGUGAGUCCAUCAACUCCAACGGCAUCACUGAGUAUAAGACCACGAUCCUAAGGCAUUUUACUCAUCGUCUGAAAAUUCUGCAACAUGAAUGUUGCAGCCCGUAAACGGGUCAGCACAUGGUACAUGCUGGCAAUGUAACACAUAGAGAGUAAUGAACAUAAUAGUGCUAUCACUACAUGCAUAUAUGGCUAGUGGAAAACUCUAUGGUUACAGUUUUUCAUCAAACCAAUUUUUCCCUACAACAAAGGAAUAAAUUUUAUUUAACUAUCAUGGUGGUUGUUAAACAAUGAGAAGGUAGACACCCUCUCAAUCCCAAUUAAGCAUCAUCAUUAAACCCAACAAAUUAAAUUAAAGUAACAUGAUGAGAUUCACAUGAUAAUCCAAGUACUAGAUACUCAAAACGUCCAUAACCGGGGACACGGCUAACCAUGAUUUGUUUGUACACUCUGCAGAGGUUUGCGCACUUUUCCACACAAGACUCGAUCUCGUCCGUUGGAUUUCUCGCACUACAAGGUGUUUGAGAAACGGAUGACCGAGACAUAUUCUUUCAGAAGCGUUUGCACCUUACGAUCGGGUAGACAGUUACACCUACUUUCCCCCACAUCUGCUAGUCUACCACUGUAAGAGUUCACACGACUUAAUCAACUAUGCUAGAGCCCACAGUAGCUUGUGGCUGCACACGGAAGUUUCUAGCAUGAAUAAUCUCAUGAUCCCUUUGAGCCUGGGUGGCGGUCCAAAAAAACAGGCAAUCGCUGGAAUACCCAGGUGCCUCAAUCCACCCAGAUGUGUAUUAAAGUUGCCACCUUAAAUAAACCAUUUAAUAACAAUCUCACAUCUGUCAUGCAUUCACUCACCCAAUCCACGUCUAUUGGCAUAGCAUAGCAAUAAAAGCAAACGUAGAAGUAACUCUUGUAAUAAAACAGGUAAUAGGUACUAUCUCAUCUACUUCCCAAAACCCACAUAUUAAUCAGAUCCUAAUCAUGCAAUUUUUUGAGGAUUGAACUAAUGCAAUAAAACUGGGUAGUAAAGAGGUAUGAUCAAAGUGUUACUUGCCUUGUUGAUGAUCCGUGAAACCUAGAGAUUCGAAGUAGCAAGCGGCGCACUCUGGGUACUCUAACGCAAACAAACAAACAAGCAUACAAUAAGUACUCAACUAAUGCAUAUGUAAAACUCAAAUAAGAGAUCUAACCAAAAAGUGCAACUUAAGAACUCCGGUUUGCAAAAAGAAUCAAAUCAAACGAAGCAACGAAACUCAAAUGGCGAAAGAAACAAGCUUCAUUUACUAAUCUGGACCUAAGUCAAAAUUUUACAGUAGUAAAAACUUGUUGAGUUGGUUAAACGAAAAGAGGGUUUCAAGGCGAAACUCUAGGCGCUUGAAUCUCCUGAUUCUGAUAAAGGAGCGAAAAGAUAAACUAGAACGAAAAUUGGAUCAGAAACCACGAUCUGGAAUAAUCGCGGAAAAUCCGAGAAAAAGAAAAACUGACGAACUGUCUAACGGACAGACGUUCGUUGACUACAACUAAACGGCGAAACUCAUCCAUUAAAAUGAACGAUCGAGCGAACGCUCGCUAAAUAAAUAAACCAGAAGAAAUAUAAGAAAACUGAUCUAAAAAAUAAACCUAGGGUUUUCUAAAAAAAUGGAUUGGUUUUCUCUAGAAAACCGGGCGGCCACGGGCGGCUACCUCGUCGGAACUCCGGCGGGGUCCGGCGGCUUCCACGGGGUCCGGUGGCGGCGGGAGGCGGUGGCGGCAGUGGUGAACGGCGGCAGCAGCGGCGAACGGCGGCGGCGGGAGGCGAGCUGGACUGGAUGGAGGGUUGGGACUGGCAGCGGCGGUAUUUAUAGGAAGGGGGGCGACGGUGGCUUGGGGAAGGGGGCGACCGGGUCGGGAUUGGCAUCGGGAGGCAUGCCCCGGCCGGACUCGGUGGCGGCGUUGGGGAGGACUUCCCUCCCGCGGGGAAGGCGGAGGCGGCGCGGGCCUGGCCCGGCUCGGCUGGGCCUUCGGCCCAGUCCGGCGCGCGGAACUUUUUUUUAAAUAAAUUUCGCCGAAACUAAGAAAAAUACUAGAAAAUAAAAUAGAAUUCUAAAAAUGCCAAAACAAAUUUUCACCAUCUAAAUAAAAUAUUUAGGACAAGAUGAACAUUUUCUUGGCCCUAAAAUACAGUUUUGAAAAACGUGCAAGUUUUUCCUAAAUUCAAAUAAAAUAGCGAAAAACUCCGAAAUAAAAUCUUAUUUGAUUUUUAUUAAAUCCUCAAUAUUUCUUUAUUUUGGGAAAGUCAUUUUAUUCCCUCUCUCUUGUUUUUAUAAUCUAAAUAAUUGAAGAUAAAAUAAAUAAAAUCAAAUGAUCCUAUUUUCAAAAUUUGAUAAAACUCAAAUAUGAAAAUAACGAAAUUCCCAACUCUCUCCAAGGGUCAUCGAGUUGCGUAAAAUUUCUAGGAUCAAGCCAAAAAGCAAUAAAAUAUGAUAUGCAAUGAUGAUCUAAUGUAUAACAUUCCAAAUUUAAAAUAUGGGAUGUUACAUAAGUAUUGUUAGCAGUAGCGCUUCCCGGACCAGCGCUACUGAUAACUAUCUAUAGCGCUUGUUCAGAUGGUGCGCUGCUGCUAAGCCAGCGCUACUUAUAAGUAUUUUCCAGCACUACUGCUAAUAUUCCUGCUUUCACAUAUUUGCACCCUGUACAUAUUUGUGAUGUAUUUAUACAGGCUCUGUACAAUAGUUUCAUCACAUCAUACUAAACAUACACUAUUCUCACAUAUCAUAGACAUACAGUAGUCUCGUCAUAGCAUCAUCAUCAUCAUCAUUCAACACAAAUAUCAUCACAUCUCGAAAAUAGUGAUACACAAGUGCGAUCAUGUCAUGUCUUGAAUAAGUGCAACUGCAUGGUCAUGGCACACACACAAGUUUGAUCAUCUCUAUCUAAACCAUGAUGUAAAGGAGAAGAACAAUCAGCAUGAGCAAGAGCGCCACUAUGUAGUACCGGCGGUCCCGCUCCUGCUCAUGCUGGAGUGUCCACCUCAAGUAACUACGUUCCGCUUCGGCUCUGGUGUUGAACCCUCUGAGGCUAGCACCCGGGUACCUGUGCACCUGGGCCUGAGCGGCUGGCCAGUGGUUGUAGACUCCUGGAACCCGCCCAACGUACACGACGUAGUAGUCCUUCGCCAUCUCUGAUCUAUGUACCUGCAUCGUGAGUUGAUGAAUUGAAUGAUAAUAUGCAACAUAGUGUACUUAAGAAAACAAAGAGGCAUGAUUAGCAAAAUAAAAGCAACCAAUAGUAAACAUAAAUGACGAAGUUCCUCAUACCCAAACUAAUUAACUAGAGCGAUCUACGCUAGUUCAAGACCACGGUUUAGUUACAUCACAUAGUUUCGUCGUGCAUAAUUUCAAAAUUUUGCCAUAGAAAGACAGUAGUGAUAAGGCGAUUAGGACCACGGUUUAGUUACAUCACAUUGUCAUUGACAAUCAGUCCUCCAUGUCGGUGUUCCAAUCUUCAUAGUCAGGGAGGAAGCACCCGAGCUUCGUGAAAGGCUUCAGGUCCAGACAUUGAGCGACUAGCAGUGCUCGGACAUCAACCCGCGUGAUUGGACCAUGGUAGAACAUCCCCAUUGUUUUUUAGAACUUAUACAGUGGGAGAGGCUCCCACUGUGUUUGUAUUACUCAAAAGAUAUAGUACAAUGUACACCUCAUAUUUACAAGAUACUCAACCUCCACUUUGGGAGAGAGUGUAAUCAGACCAAGUUAUGGGCAAGCUAAUGGGGUGAUAGAGUGUUUACAAAAGAGAGAAUAAAGUCUCUCAAGUCUUCUCUAGUCAUGUGUUGAAGGAGGGUGAAGUCCUGCUUGAAUCUAUCAAGCCAAGAGUGGUAAAUAGGAGGGAUUCUUCUGAAGUGCUUGUUAUUCCUCUCUUUCCAUUUGCUCCAAGGUGCCUGUAAAAAGAUUUCCAUAAACAUGGGUUUGUCCCAAUUGUUGGAUGCCUGACUUAUCCAUUGUAACCUGGAGCCGGUGUCUUCCCACGUAAUCCCUAGUUUGGAGCAAUAGUUUUUACUGAAAGGGCAUUGGAAGAUCAUGUGUUCCACAUCCUCUUCUAUUUAUUGAUUACAUAGCAAGCAGUUGAAGUCAUCCCCUAUGUUAUAGUGCCACCUCUUGAGCAUGUUGCGAGUGUUUAGUCGAUCAGAGAGAAGCAACCACCCAAAUGUCUUGAUUUUCAGCAUGACCUUCGAUUUCCAGAGCCAUUGAUAUGAUUUGUGGGCCUUCACAUCCCUAAAGUAGAAUUUGUAGUAUAUGUUGGCCUUAAAAUCUCUCGAUCCCCAACAAUACUCACAAGUGUCAUGGGUAUGCAAGUCUUCAUGGUUACCUACGUGGAGCAUAUUUUGUUGUAGAUCGAGAACUUCUUCAUGUGCUUGCACCAAAAGGGGUCGGUGAAACCUUUCAUGGAGUGAGGUAGAUCCCAAGAAAUCUCUGACAGAAAUAUCAUCAUUUAUUGCGAAGGAGAAGGCCCGCGCGUAUUAUUCCGCCUCUGUAGUGUCUAACCAUAUAUCCUUCCACAUAAGUACCGUGUCUCCAACGUGCACAUUUUCUUUAGAUAUCCCUCUGUAGAUUGGGGUGAGCUUUAGCACAUCCUUCCACCAGAACUAUCCGCAUGGUUCCGACGCGUGCGGGAUCUUGUGCGUGUAAUAUGUUGUCUAGAUCAAAUCCACCCAGGGCAGGUCAUGGUGGUUCUCGGUGUCAAAACUGGCGGAUCUCGGGUAGGGGGUCCCGAUCUGUGCGUCUUAGGACCAAUGGUAACAUGAACACGGGAUUUUACCCAGCUUCGGGCUCUCUUGAUGAGAUAAUACCCUACAUGCUGCUUGAUUGACUAUAAUGAAUAUAGGGGUUACAAGAGUUGAUCUACCUCGAGAUCAUAUGUUGUGGUCUAAACCCUAGAGGUAUGAUGAGUAAUGUCAUAAUAAUCCUCUAUCGACUAGCCUAGCCUCGGUUUAUAUAAUGUACCAGAGGCCUAGGAUAACAAGAGUCCUAGCCGAAUAUGCCGGUGGGGGAGGAGUCCUUGUCUUGAUCACCAAGUCUUGUGGAAUCUUCCUUGUAUGCGGCAAUUGUCGAACUGGCCCAUGAGUAUACGGACAUGGGGGUGCUCGGCCCAAUCUAACUGAUCGGGGGAUGAUGUGGUGAGUACCCCCUAGUCCAGGACACCAUCAGUAGCCCCCUGAACCGGUCUUCAAGUUGGGGAGGCUCCUCGAUUCUUCCGAACUGUUCUUCAUCUUCGGUCGUCCGUCUUGAAAAUUGGUUCAACAAAUCUUCUCAUCUUCGAUCUUGAGGAUCGCAAAGUAAAUCCGAAGAGUUUAUACGUCGGGUAUCCGAGGAGCCCCUAUAAGUUUCCGGCAUUUAUCAAUGCCUUGUUAUUAUUAUGCCGCACUUCAGGUUUGAAGUUAUUCCCGGGCGGCAGCUUCCUCUUGCAUCCGAGCUCCAACGCCGGAUUUCAUUCGAGGUAUCUUUUGCAGCCAAGCACCAACGCCGGACUACUUCCGAGCUCCAAUGCCGAAAUAUAUCCAAGCUCUAACGCUGGACUAUGUCCAAGCUCCAACGCUGGACUGUAUCCGAGCUCCAAUGCCGGACUAUAUCCGAGAUGUCAUAGAUCAUCUGGGUUCAAAAAGUUGGAGGAGUUUAGCCGAGCUUAAUGCUGGAAAUGCCCUCUAUGGAGCCAGCCACUGGCGCCCGAGCUUAAUGCCGGAUUGCUUCCGAGGUGGUGCACCACCCCUAACUGUGGGCUGAUUUUUUGACUGGUGCAAUUUAUUAUCUUCCGAGAUAUAUAGCCAGUAGCCCUCGAGGUGUGUGCGUCGGUCUAAAACCCGAGAUGCACAUGAAGGAAAACAUGAAACCGCUAAUCCUAGUUGCCCCUGAGACUCAGGUCGGUGCACGAAAUCGGCAUGAGGAUCAACUCCUAGCUCGACAACAUACAUAGGAAUAGAAACGCGGUGUGCAAAGUCCUCGAGACUCAAGUUGGGUGCGGCCGACCAACCUGAGGAUAAUAAUCUCCUCGAAAACUAUAUUGCACUUUAAAUUUUCUGCAUUGGAUUGUCAAUGCAGUAGCCCCCGAGACACUGGUCGGGUGGCGACACUAGAUCAGGGGAUCAAUGUACCCCUUUAAUAUUUGUAAAUAAUAAGCACGAAGCCCAGUAGCCCCCGAGCCUUAAUGUGGGCACGGGUGGCCAAAUUAAGGAUCGAUAUCCAAAGUAAAAUCACAAAUUAUGUGUAAUGAUUCUAUGUAUCCAAGUACUUUGCAUCAUCAAUGCUCGCAUCCGCAUUGUACAAAACUUUGUCGACCUGCCAUCGGCUUCAACCUCCUUGGCCAGCAGCCAGGGAGUGUGUGUCCCACUUUAUAAAGCCUUUAUGGGGGCAAAGAUUUGUGGCAAACAAGGCAAUCCGGCCAUAUGGUUUUAUAAACAAAGGUACGCAGAGAGACAUGUUAUAUUAUUGUUUAACAUAAGAAACAUCAUCCAAAGAAAAUAGUCCCACUAUUGGUUCCUUUCUUUGGGUUGUCAUGCUAAGCAUGAUCAUGAAACCUCAGCUCUGAUCAAUGUGGGAGGGAAAUACUGAGGAUUUUAGUACGGGAAAAGCUUCCAAACUCUGUGGUCUAGGUGAACCCAAAUUUUUACUUCCGUUAUGACCGUUUAUAAUUUGAAAGUGGCCCAUCGUCGGCUUCUACCCCCUUGUAGAUGUUAUGCAGGGUGUUUCCGAAAUAACAAAUCAACCCUUAGCCGACGUCUCGGUACCCGAAGGCGGUUGUGUUGGCGGAAACAAGGCAAUCAGAUAUACGGGCUUUAUAACUUUCACUUAGUCAUAGGAACAUAUAGUUGGGAGGCCGGCAAGUAGCCCCCCGCUUAGUGUUCGGCGAAAGCCGAGGUCAAGCCGUAAACACUUAGGGCAAUGUUAUGAACGACCCGUCAUUUAACAUGCCGGUGGGGUCUGGGAUUCUGAUCCAAUCAUGCCGGUGGGGGAGGAGUCCUUGUCUUGAUCACCAAGUCUUGUGGAAUCUUCCUUGUAUGCGGCAAUUGUCGAACUGGCCCAUGAGUAUACGGACAUGGGGGUGCUCGGCCCAAUCUAACUGAUCGGGGGAUGAUGUGGUGAGUACCCCCUAGUCCAGGACACCAUCAGUAGCCCCCUGAACCGGUCUUCAAGUUGGGGAGGCUCCUCGAUUCUUCCGAACUGUUCUUCAUCUUCGGUCGUCCGUCUUGAAAAUUGGUUCAACAAAUCUUCUCAUCUUCGAUCUUGAGGAUCGCAAAGUAAAUCCGAAGAGUUUAUACGUCGGGUAUCCGAGGAGCCCCUAUAAGUUUCCGGCAUUUAUCAAUGCCUUGUUAUUAUUAUGCCGCACUUCAGGUUUGAAGUUAUUCCCGGGCGGCAGCUUCCUCUUGCAUCCGAGCUCCAACGCCGGAUUUCAUUCGAGGUAUCUUUUGCAGCCAAGCACCAACGCCGGACUACUUCCGAGCUCCAAUGCCGAAAUAUAUCCAAGCUCUAACGCUGGACUAUGUCCAAGCUCCAACGCUGGACUGUAUCCGAGCUCCAAUGCCGGACUAUAUCCGAGAUGUCAUAGAUCAUCUGGGUUCAAAAAGUUGGAGGAGUUUAGCCGAGCUUAAUGCUGGAAAUGCCCUCUAUGGAGCCAGCCACUGGCGCCCGAGCUUAAUGCCGGAUUGCUUCCGAGGUGGUGCACCACCCCUAACUGUGGGCUGAUUUUUUGACUGGUGCAAUUUAUUAUCUUCCGAGAUAUAUAGCCAGUAGCCCUCGAGGUGUGUGCGUCGGUCUAAAACCCGAGAUGCACAUGAAGGAAAACAUGAAACCGCUAAUCCUAGUUGCCCCUGAGACUCAGGUCGGUGCACGAAAUCGGCAUGAGGAUCAACUCCUAGCUCGACAACAUACAUAGGAAUAGAAACGCGGUGUGCAAAGUCCUCGAGACUCAAGUUGGGUGCGGCCGACCAACCUGAGGAUAAUAAUCUCCUCGAAAACUAUAUUGCACUUUAAAUUUUCUGCAUUGGAUUGUCAAUGCAGUAGCCCCCGAGACACUGGUCGGGUGGCGACACUAGAUCAGGGGAUCAAUGUACCCCUUUAAUAUUUGUAAAUAAUAAGCACGAAGCCCAGUAGCCCCCGAGCCUUAAUGUGGGCACGGGUGGCCAAAUUAAGGAUCGAUAUCCAAAGUAAAAUCACAAAUUAUGUGUAAUGAUUCUAUGUAUCCAAGUACUUUGCAUCAUCAAUGCUCGCAUCCGCAUUGUACAAAACUUUGUCGACCUGCCAUCGGCUUCAACCUCCUUGGCCAGCAGCCAGGGAGUGUGUGUCCCACUUUAUAAAGCCUUUAUGGGGGCAAAGAUUUGUGGCAAACAAGGCAAUCCGGCCAUAUGGUUUUAUAAACAAAGGUACGCAGAGAGACAUGUUAUAUUAUUGUUUAACAUAAGAAACAUCAUCCAAAGAAAAUAGUCCCACUAUUGGUUCCUUUCUUUGGGUUGUCAUGCUAAGCAUGAUCAUGAAACCUCAGCUCUGAUCAAUGUGGGAGGGAAAUACUGAGGAUUUUAGUACGGGAAAAGCUUCCAAACUCUGUGGUCUAGGUGAACCCAAAUUUUUACUUCCGUUAUGACCGUUUAUAAUUUGAAAGUGGCCCAUCGUCGGCUUCUACCCCCUUGUAGAUGUUAUGCAGGGUGUUUCCGAAAUAACAAAUCAACCCUUAGCCGACGUCUCGGUACCCGAAGGCGGUUGUGUUGGCGGAAACAAGGCAAUCAGAUAUACGGGCUUUAUAACUUUCACUUAGUCAUAGGAACAUAUAGUUGGGAGGCCGGCAAGUAGCCCCCCGCUUAGUGUUCGGCGAAAGCCGAGGUCAAGCCGUAAACACUUAGGGCAAUGUUAUGAACGACCCGUCAUUUAACAUAGUCAUCAGAUCGCUGACCGGUUUAUGCUUUAUUGUGACAGUCAGUUUUCGGCUUUCUCCAACGAGGUGCUUAACCAUACGAGUUGGAAGCACAAUCGCAGUGGCUCUCCUUUUGCACACCUAACCGAACAAAGCAGAAUGUAGGAGGCAAGCACCGGAGUCGGGCAACCCAACUAUCGACCGAAGACACAAUUUGAAACCGAUGCAUAUAUAGCAAUAUCCUAGAAUUUUUGCCAAAUCUCUAAAGGUGUCCAGCAUUGCACUGCGAGACUUAUGCGGAAAACACACAAAUAGUUGAAAAGGCCAUAGGUUUGGAAAACCAAAAAACGUCAGUGAAAACUCGACGUCCGAACUAUAUCAAGUGUUCGGUGCCAAUCCAAACAUUGAAAAAAUUGUGCUUCUGUCAUGCUUUAACAUGCCACAUCCUAUCUCAAGACUUCAAGCGGGUCAGCCUACGGCUUCAACCUCCUAUCCUAAAGGCGGAGUACUUUGGCGGCUUUGAGAGGGAAAUCCAGCUAUUGACCACACACUCGCGUCGAAAAAAGGAGUGAUAGAAAAAAACUUUGCAACGACUAGGAAGAAGAACACUUAUUAUAAAACAGCUCACAUAAAUUUAAGAGCCCCCGAGUGACUUGGGUAAAAGAAUUUUAUGUAUAAUGAUUGUAUGUACCAAAGUACUUGUAUCAUGUCUGUGUUCACCCGAACUUUAUACGCGUCUUAACCAAUUGUCGGCUUCUCCCUCUUCGGUCGAGGACCGAAAAGUGUUAUGUACUCCACCUGUCGAGAGUAUCGACGGUGUUUCCGAUAACCAGGCAACCAGGCCAUAAGGCUGUAACAGACAAAGCACGCUCAGGGAACUUAUGCUAUAUUACUAACAAAGUGUAAGAAGCAUCUUCGAAGAAAAUAGUACCCCCAUCGAUGCCUUUCUUCGGUGCUCAUUGUCAUUAUGAGACUUGUGCAAUAGAUUUUUUGUACUCAUGAGUUCCGUUGUGUGCCGACCAUGAUUGAAAACAAUAAGAGCGCUAGCUUUCGGCUUCACCCAGUCUGAGGUCUGAGCUCGGAAGAACCGGUCAUGACAAUCGCAGAGGUGCUCCCUUUACUCCCUAGCCGAACAAUCGGGAACAUAGGGGUAAGCACAGGAGCCAGCCAACCCAGCUUGCAAAUCACUUAGGUCAAUAUGGUGCAUAUUGUGGCGUAAUACAUGAACAACGAACGAAGCCGUACAAGUAUAAUCAUAUGCAAGAGGAAAAGCUUCAUAAAGGAAGCCCCAAGUAAACGGGGUAUUUGAAUUUGUGUGUCACAAACAAAGUUUGGACAUGGAAGUUCUUCACAAGCAACUUUUUGCCAAAAAGGUAUAAUGCUUGUUCAAACCGAACAAAAUUUAAGACUGAAAGUUUUUGAGCAUGAAAGAAACUUAGCUGGUUGAUAUGUUCGGCAUUGAUGACGCGGUCCGAGCUUGAUGUGGGACAGGGUUCCAGCCCCCAGGCUGGUCCCAAGGUGGCCGAGCAGAGAGUCCAGCACUCUGAGAAGAUGAAGCCCCUAGUCCGGCCACGGUAAUGGAGCAGGCCGGCGCGCCAAGGCGACAACACGGCUCAGUCCGAGUCCAUUGCCUGCACAGAUAAAAUAGUGCAAACCAAAAGAAAUGACAAAUAAAGAUAAUAAUGUAUAUAUAUAUAUAUAAUUCUUCUACUUAUUUAACACAAGUGAAGAAAAUAAUGAAAGAGAUGUGGCCUGAGCGUCGAGGUCAAUGUCGAUGCAGGGCGUGAUGCAGUGAAGGCGUGACAAAGCCCGAAUUCGCAGGUCAGUUCGAGUUCCGGAUACAGCGUUCGCCGAACUAUCCACCGAAACUGACCGAACCACCACACAAUCAUCGCUAAUGCGGCCACCAAUUGAUAGACCUAUGUACAGAUGAUGGAACAAAGCAGAGUAAUAAUUCCUUGGGAAAAAUGAACCCAAACGAGCAAAAUUUGCUAGGAUUAAUAGCACCUGGUUUAUCUGUUGUAACGGUUCGAAGAAAGGUUACUCCCAAAAUUGGGACUCGAUCCGCACACCCAUUUCCUGAUGGGUGAUGAAGCGAUGGCACGGCGAUCCUGGCAAAGGUUGGCUCGCCACAGCGAAGCCCGUGGUCCAGCUAAUGUGAUGAAGCUGGUCGGCUGGUGACGCCGAAGUCUCUGGAGUAAGUUGAUGAAGGGAUGAAGAAGCCCCCAGUCUAGGCGAGGAGACGGAGCAGGUCGGUGAGGAGAUGUGUCAGCCGAGGCGUUGAAGUAGUUCGGCGUGAUGGACAUCAGCUCGAUGAAGCAACAGUUCGGCCAUGCCGAUGCAGGUCGUAGCUUGUGACGUGAUCAAUGCUGGCUUGAUGAAGUGACCGUACGGCGAUGCCAUUGUGCCCGCUCCAUGUGAUCUGUGGGGCGGCGAUGUUGGUGACGAUUUAUCCUUCACGAUGCCGAACUAUUGUUCGGCUGGCCGAGAUGAUGGUCCGAAGAAGUUGAGCUCGGCUCAACAAAGCGACGACGUGUCUAGCACAGGUCGACCGCCAUGGAGUGAUGUUGUCAGGCCGGUUUGACACCGGCACGAUGGUGAAAAUCAUAUUGUAAAAAUACUUUUAAUAUUAAUGAGAUGUGUUUGAGAAUAAAACACAAUACCCCAUACGAUUACGUCCUUCAAAAAGGAUGUCCGAAAUCCCGUUCGUAAAGAAGAUGAACUUGGGUCGGAUUCGUUCUCGUGCAGAAAACAGAUUCGAAAAGUGAUGCACUAAUCAGAAGGUUCUCAGAGUUCGGACGGUCGGAUCGAGCUGAAUUGUUGGCAGGUGGUAGAUAUGGGAAUUCCACAGCCGAUCAACGGUUGGAUCUUCCAAAGGACGUCUGAGCUAGAUGCUGGACACCCCGCUCCAAACUCGUCCGGAUUCUCGUCCAGAUUCAACAGGGCUCCGCUAUAUCGGAGAUUGCCGGAGAUUCCUCCAUCGGAACUCGAAGAAAUCGUUUAGGCGACACUCGAGGAGGCAGUGGCGGCGGAUACAAGUUUGCUGUCUAGAAAAACAGCACGGUCGCCUGAGGGCAAUCUUGACGUUGAGCCCCCGAGCUCCAUGGAUGACUCCUCCAUGAUCUUGAUAGCGAUCGGAGUUGAUGUUGAUGAAGGCCCUCAUCCGAAAAUGACGAUCAGGGGUAGGGCGCAGUCCUCAGUCAAGCCAAGGUGACCAGUCGAGCUGGUGACGAAGAAGCCAAUGUCGCAGUUGACCUGCAGUCGAGCCAUUGAUCCUUUUGCCGAUCACACAGCGGAACUCUCAAUGAAAGCACCAAUGUCGGUGUCAAAACCGGCAGAUCUCGGGUAGGGGGUCCCGACCUGUGCGUCUUAGGAUCAAUGGCAACAUGAACACGAGAUUUUACCCAGCUUUUGGGAUCUCUUGAUGAGAUAAUACCCUACAUGCUGCUUGAUUGACUAUAAUGAAUAUAGGGGUUACAAGAGUUGAUCUACCUCAAGAUCAUAUGUUGUGGUCCAAACCCUAGAGGUAUGAUGAUUAAUGUCAUAAUAAUCCUCUAUCGACUAGCCUAGCCUCGGUUUAUAUAAUGUACCAGAGGCCUAGGAUAACAAGAGUCCUAACCGAAUACGCCGGUGGGGGAGGAGUCCUUGUCUUGAUCACCAAGUCUUGUGGAAUCUUUCUUGUAUGCGGGAACUGUCCGAACUGGCCCAUGAGUAUACGUACAUGGGGGUGCUCGGCCCAAUCUAACUGAUCGGGGGACGACGUGGUGAGUACCCCCUAGUCCAGGACACCGUCAGUGGUUGUAAAAUUUAUGCAUAUAUUUGAGAAGGAGGGCCUCACUUUGGAUACGGAGAUUGAUUAUGCCAAGUCCACCACUUUGUUUUGGUUGAAAAACCAUGUCCCAAGCUGCCAAUGAGUUACAUUUAUCCCCUUGCUCAGUCUUUUUUGUCCAAAGGCACUUUCUUCUUAUUUUAUCAAGUAGCUCUAAUAUCUUUGGUGGGAAUUUGAGAGUGUAGAGGGCGAAGAUGGUGAGAGAUGUAAUCAUCGUGUUGAGGAGUGACAGUUUUGCACCGUAUGGCAUCAAGGCUAAAGUGCUGGUCAUUCUUCGUUCCAUCAUGCAGACAAGAGGCAUGAGAUCUUGGACCAUAGACUUGGUUAUUCUGAGAGGCAGUCCCAAGUAAGUGAAGGGCAUAGAUCCUACCUUACAGCCAAAGAUAGAAGCGAUGUCGUUGUAACAAUCGGCAGCACAAUUAAUUGGGAUUGUUGUAGACUUGUGGAAGUUUAUCUUCAAUCCAAUAGAAGUAGCAUAGUCUGAGAGAAUAUCCUUGAUAGUCCUAGCUUGGUUGGGUCAAGCGGGGAGUAUAAUGAUCAUAUCAUCGGCAUAUUGGAUCACUGGAUAAUCAUGCUGGUUUUGUCUUUGGAACGGAAGCUGUAUUUUGCCUUGUCAGAAAGCGUCCGUAAUGGCAGCUUGAAUAAGGUCAGCUGCGAGCACAAAAAUGAGGGGUGAUAAAGGAUCACCUUGAUGAACACCACAUUUGCAGAUGAAUUGUCAGCCUGGUACACCAUUUAAGAGGACCGAUGAUUUUUCUGAGGAGAAGAUGCAUUUGAUCCAAUCAAGCCACAUGGCAUCAAACCCCGUGUGUUCCAUAAUUGUAAUCAUUGCAUCAUGCUCGAUCAUGUCAAAUGCUUUUCCAAAAUCUAGUUUUAGCACGACAAAAUUUUGUUUUGAGAUUUGACAGAGAUGGAUAUACACGAAAGCCCAGGCCAAACAGUCUUGUAUUGAUCUUCCUUUGAUGAAGCCAUAUUGAUUAGGAUGAAAUUUUUUAAGUACGAGCUUUUGGAGACGGUUUGCGAGCAGUUUAGUGAUAACCUUGAGGCAGCAGUUGAGCAAAGUAAUUGGUCUGAAAUCAGAAAUUGUCUCAGGUGACCGAACUAUGGGUAUGAGUGUGAUAAAUUCCUCAUUAAUGCUCUCAAGAUUAAGUCCGCCCUCGUAGAAUUGAUUGCAUAGCUAAUAAAAAUCCUCUUUAAUUAUGUGCCAACAUUUUUUCAGAAAUAAGCCAGUGAAUCCAUCCGGACCAGGUUCUCUGUCAGCCGGCAUUUCCUUGAUGACAUCAUCGAUUUCACCCUUGGUGAAAGGGACGGUCAAUUGAUCCAGACCCUCAACUUUAUCUUCGCCACCCAAUUUCACCCAUCGAAUGGUGCAUCUCUUUUGCCAGUAUUGUCUUUCGUAGUUCAAGAGGCGUAAAAUGUGUUUCUUCAGAAUUUUCCUAAAAUUAUGUUCUGGAGUAGAUUUCAGAGAUUUUUGAGGUCAUCUAGAUUGGCUAGGGUAAGAUUAGAGUUUUCAAUUGCCAUCUUAAGUUUAGAGAUACGUUUGCUCCACCUUUUCAACUCAUAUCUAAAUGCUUUGAACUUUCUGCACAGUAAAGUGGCCGCAUUUGUAUUGGCAUGUUUUAAUGGUCUUAUGCACACAGAUUGAACCAAAUCCAUAAAACUUGGGUGCUCCAUCCAAUAAGACUCAAAUCUAAAGAUUUUGCUGCGAGGGAUGGAGGUUUCAAUUUUGACAACACACGGAAUAUGAUCAGAAACAGGUUUCCUUACUGGCAUAACUAGAGUAUUAGGGUAACAUGAAUUCCAGUUGUUAGACAUGAGAAACCAGUCUAAUUGCUCAAGGAGGGGGUCUGUCUGCAUGUUCCUCCAAGUGUAAGCACGACCCUCAAUUGGCAGUUCAAUUAAUUGCUAAGAGCGGAUGAUGUCAUUAAAAGCAAUCGCGUCAUUAGGAUUACCUCCAGGUUUAUUUCUGUUAUCAGGGCUGCGAAUAUAGUUAAAGUCUCCUAGCAACAACCAAUCUUCAUUGGAGGGGAUAUUUAGAGUAUGAAGCCAAUCAGUGUAAGUCACUCUCGGGUCACCCUAACACGGGCCAUGUAUGUUCACCAGGGUCCACUCUUAGGUUGAUUGUGUGGAACGGAAUUUGAUGACAGAACCAUGCCAUGAGAACUGUUCCUGUGAAAAUGGCAUUGUUCCAAAUGGUGACAAUGCCUCCUGAAGCACCUUGGGAGGGGAUGUAUGCAAAUUUAUCAAAUCUUCUUGGGCAACAAGACUUCAGGAACAAGUUAUCAAUGACAUAUUUUCUUUCUUUCUUUCAGACAGAUGACUCCACAGCCACUGGAGGAGAUAGCAUUCGAGAACGCCAAAAGCUUAUGGUCAGAGUUUAAGCCUCUUAUAUUCCAUCACAAAAUAUUCUAGCUCGAUAAAAGUGCCAUGAUAAAAUAGAGCAAAUUAAAAAACAACUAAAAUAAAGCGAGGAAAUAGCUUAAGCAUUGGAGGGGUCGUCCUCAGCUUCAACCAUCAGAGCUUCAGAAGUAACUUCUUCUGGCGGAAUGGCGCACUUGAUGAUCCCAAUGUGUUGCAGCACUUGAACAGGAGAAGGUGGAGGGAUAUUGUCCUUGUUCAGUGAGUCAGGAACAACUUGACCUGCUUGGGCACCAGCACUAGGGACAAUUCUGGGCUUGACUUUAGAAGGUUUAGCCUUGCUGUCAAAAACUGAUGGUAUCUUGAAACCAUCAUACUUAUUAGAGUGGCUGCUGGGACGAACCUCAACCAUAGAUGCUGGUGCUUUCGCUUUGCCGCUCCUGAUUAUGGAUUUCCCCGAGCUCAUAACAUCACUUGCAAUAAAGCCAGUGGGGUCACUUGCAUCAGAACCAGAAGAGGUGGUCAUUGCAUCCAAUGAAAGUGUUGUUGCACCUUGAACAGGUAAGUCCAUCUCAUCCAAGAUUUCUGUGAUGACAACAUUGGAGUUGGAAGUCCUUGGUAUGAUAGCGAGAUCACUUGUUGGCUGAAGAGGGUUAUCCCCACAGGAUAGGGCCCAAGAACUACUGCCAGGGAUCAUCUCAGUGACAUAUACUGAAUCUGCAGUAUGUUGGACAGUUCUGGUGGAAGACAGAAUAGAGAACUAUCCCUCUUUCUCAGCAAUGCUAACAUUAAAUUGCACUGAAAUGUCACAAAAUCCAAACCCCGAGCUCCAGGGGCCAUAUGCAGCUAUAAUAGGCCUAAUAGCAGCUAGGAGGUAAGUGUUCAGCCUCAACAUUGGCACACAAUCAUUCAGAAGCAAAGAAGCAUUGGUGUUCUCAAGAGAAAGCAUAGAAAGAUGCAGACCAGCAUUUGAAAUAGACAGUGACAUUUCCAUGGGUGUUACCUCCUGGGUGGUCACAAGAUUGUAGGUGAUAAAACUCAGCUCGGAUUCGAUGAUCCGGUGUAUUUCCUAUGCCUGUGGCUCAGCUGACAAUCUCGACAUCUUCGGUAGUAGCUGACAUGCGAAGGCGUUGAUUGUCCCUUAUGUACUGCAUCAAGUGACGCAUGAGGUAGAAUCCAUCAGCCCUACUGGUGUGCGGUUGCUGGAUGCGGCAGAAGUCAAUCUUAUGGCAGAAAACCAGCCCGUUCUUCCUGUGCCAUUUCACCUUAAUAUAUCCACCAGACAGGCUGAAGGUUAACAUGGCACUAUUGAGAACAUCUUUACGUGCAUGUAAUCCUUUUUCUUGAGGUUCUUCGAUGAGUCCAAGUGCAUAGCAUGGGAGUAUUCUAGGUACAUAUUGACGAAGACGGCGCCGCCCCCACUGCGCGAAUUAAAUAGACCUCAAAUUAGACUCCAUGCUUGCAAAGGAAUGAUUAGCACGUACGAAAGGAUAUGCGUGGAUGACUUACUAGGGAUGAUAAGGCAGGAGAAUCGCUUCCUUGUCCUUUUUAGCGAUCAUGAAUUCGUCGAGGUGCUUGCUCGCAUAGUCACGGUGCUCUUUGCAAACUGCCAAGAAGCUCUCGUGCAUAUAGUACGCGUCCGCGAUGCAGAUAUAUUUUAUGGUCUCGAUCCUGAUGAAGUAGUUGAGAUACAACACAUACACGUGGAUGAACUGGAAAUCCAGCUUGGUUGUGUGUAACAUGUCGUAGAUGUAGUCAAAUCGCAGGAUGAACUGAUUCGCGGGCCAGGUAUCGACGUACAACUUCCACCUGAGCCACAUAAAGCGGGUAUCCUGGUUCUUUCGCGAUCAGAAGGAUUUUCUCUCUGGCUAGCACAUCCUCAUGGAGUCUCUUUAGAUCAUUGUUCAGUAUGUGAUCUAGCGCUUUGGUAGGUAGUAUCGGCUCACCGGCCACAUGGAAACGCGUCUUACCUUCGACAGGUAUUCUGUCUACCACCCGGGGCUUUAGAGGCGGCUGGCUUCUUGAAGCACCCAUGGAGCCUUUAGUGCCUUUCCUGGGCAGUCUCUUCCUUUGCUUCUUGGCGGGUGGCGGUAGUGAGCCCACCAUACCUUCCCUAACCACCACCCCCAGUGUCGUCGGCCUAAUCAGUGGACGGGCCUCGGGGGGUUGCUCGGUAGAGGCAGCAUCUGGAGGCGUCUCCUGUGAGGAUGGCUUGAAGAGAGACUUUUUUCAUUCCGCCUUAGAACGUUCCGGCUCCGGCAAAUUAGGCAGCAUCAAGUCAUCAUCUGCAUGCUCAUAGCAUGAGUCUUCGUCGUCCUGAGCCAUCAAUCCUCCAUCAUCAUAGGCGGUAUUUAAAUACUUGUCUGGGUCAUCAUCAUCAUCCUCCAUGUCAUCAUUAUCAUUUGCUUCUUCGACAACGGGGGUGACAUGAUCUGGCACUAAUGGAGGCUCUCCCUCGCGUCAUAAGCUACCAUCCGCCACGACAGCUGCAGGUAAUUUGGUAGGUGCGGUGGUGUUCAUACCUUCUUGAGAAUGUGGCGUUGGCGUGAUACUGGGCGCCUCGAGAUGAAGAAGAGACUUCGGCCAAGGCAAGAACCAGCUCUUGCAUGCGCCAAUCAUCUUAGGGGUCUCGUUGUCGUCGUCGACUAGUACCGGAGGAGGCAAAUCCUCGAAGCCCGCUAAGACACUGGCCACGUUAACCUUGAAGACACCAUCUGGCAUCUCUCGGUUGUGGAACAUUUGGUACUUUGGCUUCACGAUCGUUGCCUUUCCCGCAGCCACCUUCUGGCCCUUGAUGUCGUAGAAUAGGGUGCAUGGGGUAUCGUCGGCCUACGAAGGAGACAUGUCUACGACGUCAAACAUCUGAAAGGCAACAGAAACGAAAGACUAUAGACAUGCUGGUGAAAAGGGUAUGAUGCGUAAUUACCGUGAGGGCGUCGAGCUCAGCCAGCGACGAAUGCCCACCGAGCAUGCCAGAAACGGAGGUCGGGCUGCUAUGAAGAGGAACGGGACCUUUUGUGGUUGCUUGGGCAGGUGUUGGUGCUGUGGUGUUGGCCUAGUUGCUCCCGACAAAGCUAGGAAGGGGAAAGUCCUUCGGCCAUGCAUUUCGAUCACUCUUCGACCAAUCAAAAAUUGCCAGAAUCAAGCUGGCCAUCAUGUCAGUGACCAACCCACUGACUACCCCAAGCAACUCUUCUUUCGUCUCAGCUUUGGUCUUAUUAACCGCAAUCACAACCUUCUCUUCAAUGCUCUGUUGAGUGACGACCAACCGUCUCAUCCUUCUUUCCUCUAGCUCCUCGGGGUAGCACGUCCUCCAUGAGGCGCCAUCUCUGAUGUCAUGCACACGUCCAUAGGACGGCGGCUUGUCCACCGGGACCUUUUUCAGUAUGUUCAGGGCCCAGUUGAAUGGGGUGUCCCACUUGGGCCUCGCCGACGACUGUGACGACUCGUCGUUUUCGGCUGCCUUUUGGUGCUACUCUUUCUGCAAAAGGAACAUGGAUGGUUUACUAAUGUGACAAAACUUGAAGUAGAAUUGAUUGGAAGCUAAUAUGAUAAUGUGGUAAUAUAACAAUUACCACAAGUCUCAUGAACUCCCUCGUAUUCGGGUCUGUGUAAAAGAUCUUUUUGACUCUGUCCCACUUGUACCGGGCCCUGAUCCAAUCAUGCUCCAGAGGGUCUGUGAACUCUGCCAAGGGGUCUGGGAUUCCAAGACUUUCACGUUCGGCGUCCUCCUUGGCCCAUAUGUGCCUCUUCCCCUCAUAACAACGGCUUCUGAGGCGGUGGGGAGGCGUGUUCCUGUCCUGGAGCGCCUUCAUUUUCUCCGACUUUUCCUUGACUUCUUCUUUUCCGCAAUUCUCCUUGAAUUUUGCAAAGUCCUCUGCCGUUAUUGUUGGAUUAUCAACAUGAAUCUUGGGCCACGGUUCAUUCUUCGCAAUCGCUUUUUCACCCGAACUUUCCAGGAGGACAAGUCGUUGGUGAACAUCACCAUCGCAUUGUCGCUUAUCUUUGUCAUGCUGACGUCGUCCCAUGGCUCUUUAUAUUUGCCUUCAUCCUGGCAGGGGAACAGGAACCUAUUGUGCAACUUCUUUAGGAGCAUGUGCUCCAUAUGUGGUAUCUACUUCAACAUCUCGUCGUUGAUGUUGGCGGUUUCCCUGAGGAUGCAUCCAUAUUGGUUGCCCUAGCACGAGCGCGCUUCCUCCUGCGCCAUUGGUUCUAACUUCUUGGGGUGCAUCUCUGUGACCACAAUUUGUCUCAUGCCAAGCUCGUUUGGUCUUUGCGUCCUCUUCUUCUUCGGUGCUUUACCGGCUACGACAACAUCGUCGCCGGUCUCGGGGGUGGUGUCGGUGCCGGUGCCAGUGUCGGUGUCGGGGUUGGGGCCACUGCCGCCACCAUGCAGCCCCAUCUGGUGUUCGUCCAGGUAAUCGAAAUAGUUAUUUGCUUCCUCGAUGGGGUCUGCGGGACGAGCAGAACCACCCACGACUUCGACAUCGGUAGACAUGUUUCCUAUUCAACAAUUGUAAAUAAAACAUAUAAUGAAGAGAAAAAAAGGGACUAUAUUUUGUCGGAAUGUUCAUUCCCCUUCCGGCAAAUCCCGGGUACUCCAUAUGUCCUAGUUUCUAGCAUGAAAUUUUUGCCAUGACCUUUGCUAAAAGGUGGACAUAUGGAGUGCGUGAAAUUUGCCGGAACGGAAAUGAAUCAACAUUCCGGCAAAACAUAGGCCACUCGGAUAUUUUUCGGCAUUCAACCAACAUUGCAAAACCCACAUAUAACAUCAAUGACAUAUAUCAUUCAAGCAAAAGCAUGCUUGUACUUUAACACACAAAAAUGACAAAAAUAGCUACAAACUUGUCCUAGGGUUCAUACAUAGCUAACUUGCCCAAAAUUUUGCAAACUUUGCAAAAUUUGCUACUGUUUUUUUAAUGCGCUACUAUUUUUUUAUUUGCUACUGUUUUUAUACCUCAAUUUUUGCUACUAUUUUUCUAAAAUUACUGUUGUUUUUGUAAACUUUGCUACUGUUUUUUAAAUUCUUUUGCUACUGUUUUUUAAAUUCUUUUGCUAUAGUUUUUUAUACCUAAUUUUUUGCUAACUUGCCACAAAAAUUUGGUAACUUUCUAAUAUUUGCUACAAAAAUUUGAUAACUUGCUAAAAAACCAAAGAAACAAAAUUUGUUAAUUAGCUACUUCCCUAAUUAGCUACUGCCCUAAUUUGCUAACUUUGCUAACUUGCUAAAAAAUUGCUAACUUUGUUAACUUUACUAAAUUUGCCCUAAAAUUUGCAUACUUUGCUUCCGCAUUUGCUAACUUUGCUAAAAAAUUCCCCUAAUUUGAAAACCUAGAUGGGGACGAGGGGGAGGAGGAGGCCGGAGGGGGAGAGGGAGGUGGGGGCAGUACCUGAGGAGGAGGAGGUGGACGGAGGGGACGAGGAGGAGUAGGAGGCCAGAGCGGAUGAGGAGGAGGUCGGAGCGGCGGCGGCGCGGACGAGGAGGAGGUCGGAGUGGCGUGGACGAGGACGAGGAGGAGGCCGGCAUCGAGGUCGAGGGCGGGCAGGGCGACGGGUCAGCGUCAAGGUCCAGGUCGAGGGGCGACGGUCGGCGGGCAGGGGCGACAAUGGUGACGCGGGCGGCGCGUGCGACGACAAAAGAGGAGUGGGAGAGGUGGGAAGUAGGGGGAAUGGGGACUUUGCAAAAUUUUGCGCACGCGCGGGCGGUGGUUAACUCAAGAUAGCAGUAGCGCUGGUUUAGGAACCAACGCUAUAGCAGCUAUAGCAUUGGUUCAGCGCUACUGCUAAGUUUUCCAAUUUUACUUUUUUUAUUUCUAAAAUACAAGUAGAAGUAGCGUUGGGUUAGGAACAGCGCUAUAAUCAACUUAGCUAUAGCGUUGGUUCCCUAAACCAGCGCUACUGCUAAGUUUUCCACUUUUGUUUUUUUUAUUUCUAAAAUACAAGUAGCAGUAGCGCUAGGUUCGGAAAAAGCACUAUAGUUAACAUUUAUUUUCUUUUUAUUAUUUUCUGUUUACUUCUCUUUUUCUUUUGUAUUGCUUUAUCCCUUUUCUUUUCUGUUUACUUUAUUUUCUUUUGUAUUGCUUUAUCCCUUUUCUUUUCUGUUUACUUUUCUUUUCUUUUGUAUUUCUUUAUCCCUACGGCGUCUCCCUCCCACACUGCGCUAAUAUGACCGGAUGCAUGCAUGUAAUUGAAGGGAGAUGCAAUUACAUCAUUGACUGAUAACGGUUACCUAAGUGCAUACNNNNNNNNNNNNNNNNNNNNNNNNNNNNNNNNNNNNNNNNNNNNNNNNNNNNNNNNNNNNNNNNNNNNNNNNNNNNNNNNNNNNNNNNNNNNNNNNNNNNNNNNNNNNNNNNNNNNNNNNNNNNNNNNNNNNNNNNNNNNNNNNNNNNNNNNNNNNNNNNNNNNNNNNNNNNNNNNNNNNNNNNNNNNNNNNNNNNNNNNNNNNNNNNNNNNNNNNNNNNNNNNNNNNNNNNNNNNNNNNNNNNNNNNNNNNNNNNNNNNNNNNNNNNNNNNNNNNNNNNNNNNNNNNNNNNNNNNNNNNNNNNNNNNNNNNNNNNNNNNNNNNNNNNNNNNNNNNNNNNNNNNNNNNNNNNNNNNNNNNNNNNNNNNNNNNNNNNNNNNNNNNNNNNNNNNNNNNNNNNNNNNNNNNNNNNUAUAAAUUUAGGUUUCUGAUCAGCUGCGUCAACGACGUUUCACAUUAAGCUUCUUUCCUUUCUUGUUCGUUGCCGAGUAAUUGAGCCCCUCCUUGUGACUUUUCCGGGGCCAUGGAGUAUGAUCUUUCUUUGGUAAUGUAGUCUUGAUUCUUUGUUUCACGUAUGCUUCAUCAUCAUCGUCAUCUUCCCUCAUCGGGUUGCCGUAUUGGUCGUAGUCUUCCUCGUUGGCGACUCCAUCCAUUCCGACGAUGCUCCUUUUGGAUCUCCUCACGACAACCCGGCUGGGAUUAGCCGGGUCGGUUAUGAACAAGCAUUGUGUCACAUGCUUAGCGUAUACCCAUGGCUCAUUUUUGGCGAUACGUUAACGUUCGCGCGAGUGCUCUUCGCGCCGGGUAUAGACAUGGUGGUGAAAUACAUGUUUUCUCUAACAAUGUCCUUGGCCCAUUUGACACGGAACAUCUUCGCAUCGUGCAUUCCAGCAUAGUCCAGCUCCCAGAUCUGUUCGACCCUUCCGUAGAAUCUUUCAGUUGUGUCGUUGGCAUUGGUCAUGCAUUGAAUUGUCACCCCGGAGUUCUGGUAAUAACAGUCCAUGUCUUUGGCCUCCGUGUAGAACGUGUACCCAUUGAUACCGUAGGACUGAUUAGUCGCGAGCUUGGGCGCAGGGCCAUGUGCUAAGGCGUGUAUGAGCAAUCCCUCCGAACUGCCCUCUUCCGGGGUUCUUUUAAGAACUUGCUCUUUGAACCAACGCAAGAAAGUGGCGUUGUGCUCUACAAUAACUUCGCCGUCUGUCUUGAGCAUCCCCUUGUCAUGGUACUUCUUUGCAAUGCUUUCUUUGUGCCGUGCCACAUAAUCAUCUACCACAUCUAGGUGUUGUAGCACUACUAAGUUAGCCCUGUCAAAGUCAUUUCGUCGAUCCGAGUAGUCCACGUGCAAUUCCCUCCGGUCGUUGUUGUGACCAUCUCCUUCGAGCUUCCCAUUGUGCUUCUUGAUAGGCAAACCAACAACAGGUUCUCCGACCCUUAUGUAAUUCUCGAAGAAGGAGACGCACUCAAGCGUCAGAUACCCCUGGACGAUGCUCCCUUUGAGAUGGGACUUGUUACAAACGAAUCCUUUGAUGACCCCAUUCAUCCUCUUGAAAGACAUUAUGCUGUGAAGGAAUGUUGGCCCGAGGUCGACGAUGUUAAAGAAUGCGGACAAACAGAUGCACCAUGACAUUAAAGAACAUGGGCAGGAAGUACAUCUCAAGCUCACAUAGUAUGACAACGAUCUCUUGUUGUAGCCUUCGGAGCUGCUUCACACUUAUGGACUUUCGAGAGAUAACGUCGAAGAAGUUGCAGUGACCAGUAAGCGUGUCACGGACGUGCUUGUCUAUUAUCUCUCUAAUGGCAACCGGGAGUAUCUGCGUCAUCAUCACGUGACAGUCAUGAGACUUCAUCCCGCUGAACCUUUUCUUCUUGGGGUCUAGAAAUCUGCUUAUCUUCCCACAGUAACCGGAACGGACUUUGAUUCCCAUAAGGCACUUGAUGAAUUGAUCGAUCUCCUUCGCACUUAAGGUGAAGCAAGAAGGGGGGCAAUAAUUCUCCUCCUUCUUGUUGACUUUUCUGCCCCUUUCCCCCUCCCCUGUCUCCGUCUUUGUCUCCUCCAUCAACUUUUUAUGGUGGAGAUCUUUCUUGAUCUUCAAAUCUCCCAAGUCUUCCUUGGCUUCGGCCCAUCCUUUGUCUUCUCCGGCAUGUUCAUCAGUGUGCCAAGCAAGCCCUCGAGGACAUUCUUCGUGAUAUGCAUUUGAUCAAGGCAAUGAGGCGUGUCGUGAUUGGGCCAGUACUCUAAGUCCCAGAAAACAGACCUCGUUUUCCAUACCUUCAGCAGCGGCUCCGACGCCUUUUUGAUCUUUCCCGGUGCGGGGCAUUCUUCCCAGUUUCUCAACAGCUCAUCGAUUUUGGCGCUACUCCUCUUACGUGGAGGUCCUCGAAGCUAAGCCAACCCAUUGGAUAGAUCUCCACGCUUUCUCCACAGGUCAUCCUUCUUGAGCCAUCUAUGAUGCCCCAUGUACAUGAUUUUCCCGGAUACGCCAUCUUUUGUUGACAUAAGCUGCUGAGACAUUUUAUCAUCCAUGCACCUUGUGCAUCCACAGUAUCCGUGGCACACCUGGCCUGGGGUGUACCCGUAACCGAGAUAGUCGUGCACCAUCGUCAUCAGUGCGUCUCUCAUAUGGAAAUACUCUCCUUUGCUGGUGUCCCAUGUCCAUGCCGGUGAUUUCCAUAAUGUUUCUAGCUCCUCUUGCAGAAGCCCCAUAUACAAGUUAAUACUAUUUCUCGGUUGUUUCGACCCUUGAAUAAGCAUGCACAUGUGUUUGUACUUUUGUCUUCAUGCACCUCCAUGGGGGAGGUUGUACAUCCAUACAAACACAGGCCAUGUGUUGUGGUUGGUGCUCUGGUUUCCAAACCGAUUCAUGCCAUCGGUACUCGCACCAAGCACGAUGUUCCAUGGAUCUUAUGCAGCAAAUCCAUACUUGGUGUUGAAUGCUCUCCACUGGCUACCAUCUACGAGGUGUCUCAGCCUCGGAUCAUCUCCAUCUUUGGUCUUCCUCUCCGCGUGCCAGCGCAUGAGCUUUGCUUCCUUAGGAUCUACGAAAUACCGCUGCAGACGGGGAGUGAUCGGAAAGUACCAUACAAAUUUCUGAGGAGCUUUCUUUCCUUCCUUCUUGUAUCGAGAAGCAUUUGACACUGGACAGCUGGUUUUUCCACGUGCUCCCCCAAAUAAAUGAUGUAAUCGUUGAUGCAUGCGUGGUACCUAAUGUGCGGCAAAUCAAAAGGGAAAAUGAAUUUCUUGGCCUCCUCGACACUAGUAGGACACAUGUUCGCCGUAGGAAGAACUUUAUUAUGUAGAUACUUCAAAUUCUCAUCAAGGCUUUUGUCUGUCUAUUUGUUUUUGGCCUUCGUCUUUAGAAGUUCGAGCGUAAAACUCAAGCAGGUCAUCUUGGGAUCGCAACCGUCAUACAAUGGAGUCCUUGAGUCUACUUAAAGUUGCGCCAGCUUGGCCUCCUCUCUAGAGGAAGCUCUCUCACUAGUCGUACUCUUGCGAAGGAGGUCUUAAACAUGAGGGUCCUGCACGACUGCACUUAGUAGCAUCGAAGACUGCGGUGUGACCGCCGCCUCUUCUCCGCCAUGUCCGGACUGUUCUUCGCCGUGUCCGGAAUCUUCUCCGCCGCCAUCAUUUCCGGACACUUCCCCGCCGCCAUGUCCGGCGCCAUCGUCUUCGUGUCGAUCGGUCAUCUCUUCGUCUAGCCCCAUGUCGUUAUUCCCUACCAUCUGGACAUCCUCAUCAUCAUCAUCUUCUUCUUCACUUAUCCACUGAGUAUAGCCAUCCAUGAAACAAUUCAUCAGCAGGUGCGCCUUCAAAGUGCCACGAUCAAAAGGGUCCAAAAGGACUCCUUCCUUGCCCCUUGCAUCUUGCACACAGACAUCUAAUCCUAGUCCGAUUAUUUGCAUACAUGUCCAUCACCGCGGAUUGCAUGUACCGCUCCAGCUUCCAUCCACUCACCUUCAUGACCAAUUGCACGGUAUAACAAGCAAAAGGGUUAUAAAAUAAAUAAUGCAUGCAUGCUUCAAAGUCAUAUAAAAUUUUGGCAUGACCUUGCCUAAAAAUAGGAGAUAUUGGGUUUGCUCAAAAUUCACCGAAACGGAAAUAAAUCGAUAUUUCAGCAAAACAUAAGCAACUCGAGGGCAUGUCACACUCGCACAAAUCUCUCCAUGUAUAUAUCUCAAACACACGUAUUCUCAUUCACACACAUAUUCCCAUUCUUGAAAUGAAAAACUUUUUUACUCACCUAUAUAUCUCCCGAGAGAGACCGAUCGAGAGAGCACGCGGUUAAUUAGAUGAUGAGAGAGACCGAUCGAGAGAGCAUGCGUGGAUGGCUAAAUAGCUAGCUAGAUCUAGUUGUUUGGGAGGAGAGGUGAAUCUAGCUAGUUAACUAAUGGAGAUGGAGUUAUGGUGGAGGGGCAUUAAUGGGGAGAGGAAGAGAGGUAGGAGAAACAAAGAUGUGAGAGAGGCCAUUUAUGGAGAAGAGUUGUGGUGGAGGGGGACAUUAAUGAGGAGAGAAGAGAGGUACAAGGAAGAGAGAAGAAGAGCAAGAAUGGUGGAGAGUAGAGAGGGGAAAGGAGGGGGAGAGAGGGCAAAGUGGGGGAGAGGAGGGGGAGGGGUGAAAAGGUGGCACCAGCCGCAACUAGUAGUAGCGUUGCUUACCAAAAUGCGCUGCUGCUACCGUACUUAGUAGCAGUGCUUUCCUACAGAAGCGCUACUACUAAGUGGGGCCCAUUAGCAGUAGCGGCGCACUAAAAUACAACGCUACUACUAAACUGUUAGUAGUAAUGCUGGAUUCUGCACAGCGUUGGUACUACAGCUACCGUCGGUGGCCUCGUCUGGUCCACAUAGUAGUAGCGCGUUUUUGGUUUCCAGCGCUACUGCUAUACUGGAUCAGCGCUACUGCUAACUAGUAGCAGCGUUGACUAUUUUCCAGCGCUACUGCUAACUAGUAGCUGCUAACUUGUAUAAGCAUUUCCCUAGUAGUGUUAAUUUGAUUGACAGAUUGCACUUCUGGUUUCUACAGCUAGUUCUAACUAAUGAUUGAAAAAUAUAUCUACCUUAACUCUAGACAACCACAACACAUUGUCACUGCCUAACAGUGAUGAACCCUAGUGAUUCAAAUAAAAAAAUUACAAUGGCAGUGACCUAUAGCAGAAGAGGGAGGGAUGAUAUGUGCACCUGGGUUGGAGCUGAGGGUUUCCUACAGUCUACUUUGUCGCCGUCAUCAUCGCCUGGUUUCGUCGCUGAAACCCUAGCAGAUGAGAGUGGGAGGCACAGAUGCAAAACACACCUCUAAUUAAAAAAAUUCCAAAUGGACCAGAUGAGAGUGGGAAGCUCAGAUGUGUACCUCAAGACUGGAGAACGACGACAAUCGCCGGAAUCAGCCAAAAUCAAAGCGGCACGACCAGCAGCGAGAGAAGGAGAGAAAAGGGAAUGAAAUAGAGCAGCGGGUCAUAGAGAGGGAGUAGGUUGAGGGGGUCGUUGCCCCCGUUGGUUUUGACCCCCAUGGCAUUCUAAUACUAUUUGGGCUUGCCCAAUAAGAAAAAAGAUCACCACCUAAAUAUUGUCAACUCAAAACUAUAUAUUUCUAGUCUUAAACUAAAAAGGAAAAAAAGUAAAUUUAACAAAAGUACCUAUAAUAUACUAUUAAAAAGAUCACCAAAUAAAAAUCUUAAUUUUUUUUGGAAGUGUCUAAAUACAUAUUUGAAGGCUCAAAACUAUAUAUUUAUAGUCUUAAACUAAAGAGGAAAAACAAUUACAAGUCUCAAAGUACAUAUUAAUAAAAUGUCAUUAUUUCCAUUUAAAAUAAUAGAAAUUUCAUAAAAGUAAACUAUAAUAUACUAUAAAAAAGAUCACCACACAAAAAACUAAAAAGAAACAAAUUUUGAAGUGUCAAACUACAUAUUUGAAGGCUCAAUACUAUAUAUUUUAAGUCUUAAACUAAAAAGGAAAAAAUAUUAAAGCCUCAAAAUACAUAUUUAAAAACAUGUCAUUAUUUCCAUUUAAAACAAUAAAAUUUUAAUAGAAGUAAACUAUAAUAUAAUAUAAAAAAGUUCACCACAAAAAAAACUAAAAAGAAAAAAUAAAUUGGAAGUGUGAAACUACAUAUUUGAAUGCUCAAAACUAUAUAUUUCAAGUACUAACUGAAAAGGAAAAACGUAAAUUUAAAAUCUUAAGUACAUAUUUUUAAAAAUGUCAUUAUUUCUAUUUAAAAUAAUUGAAAAUUAAUAAAAGUAAACUAUAAUAUACUAUAAAAAAGUAUAUACCAAAAAAUAGUAAUAUAAGAAUGUUCGCAUUGACAAAAUAACAAUACCGGCGUCCGUUAUAACAGCACGCCACAACUAAAUAUAAUAGUGUUGGCGUUCCAUGCUAUUCCACGACAGCAAUAUAUUACGUCUGGUACAAAUUGUUGAUCUCAUGUAUUUCUGACACUGCCUUGUUUUCGAACGCCACCACUAUGCCCCUACUAAUGUCGUACCAAAUCAGCCAACGCCAUCACUACUUGAAAACAAAUAGUGGUGGCGUUGGUUGUAAUGGAGCGCCACCAACGAAAGUUGUGGCUAGCCCUUUUUCCACUAGUGAAGAUUGAGGGAGGCCGUUAGAUAAUGUUUAUGCAUAGCUAUCGUGUAGACACUUUAUAAUGGGAUAGCCACACCCGUAUUGGGUGUCGUGCAGUUUCCCACAAACAUAACGUUUUACAAUCCUGAGAGGCCAUCCAAGGGAGUCCGUCGUAGGUUGAUGCCGUUUUUACCCUCUCUAACUAAACCUAAAGUGGCGAAGUUACUAGCAUGUCGCCAUGUCCUUGCACUAGAGAAGGUAGUUGGGGACUAGACGAUCGUCUUGGAGAUGGACUGAAAGAUGGUUGUGAGCAAGCUCAACUCUGAAGGGAAGGACGGCUCACCCCAUGGACCGGCGGUUGAAGAUGUGAAGGGCAUGCUAGCUCCAAACUUUUAUUGAGUCCAAGAUCACUUGGGUUCAUGGAGUGAUGAAUUGUAUUACCUACGUCUUAACUAAUGAACAUUGUCGGAAUGAGUUGUGAAAAACAUCGCUUAGUGUGCCUCCGAAUUGUACUAGCGCCAUUUGAACUCUGGCAUUGCCGAGAACUCUGAAUACAAUGGCAACCAUUCUAUCUAAAAAAUGAUUCCUUACAGGUAUCUUUUACCUUAUCAAUAAAUCGAGUAUAAAAAAUUCAGUUUAAAUUAGAAGCAAGGUGAUUAUCAACAUACUUAUUUUAUUCCUUAUCUAUAUCUUAAUGCAUGGCUAUAAUAAGAUGAUAUACUUUUCGUCAAAAAGUUGCUAGUAUUACUUUUAAUUGACUAGGGAACUAAAUCAUGACUACGACUACCUCUGUCCUGAUUUAUUAGCGCUCCUUGUAGUUUGGGUCAAACUUUGAAAUUUAAUUUAACUAUUAGAAGAAUAAGUUAUAUACUCUAAGAAUAGUAUCACUGAAAUCCUCUUUCGAAUAUGAAUCCAACAAUAUAUGUUUUGUGACAUACAACUUAUAAUUUGUUAGUCAAAUCUACAGUCAAAGUUGGACACAAAAUAUGAAAGGGACCAAUAAACCCGGACGGAUAUAGUAGUAGUAGUAGUACUCCCUCCGAAACAAAUAAAUGCACUACCAAAUGCUCCCUCCGUCCCGAAAUACUAGUCGGAGAAAUGGAUAUAUCUAGAUGUAUUUUAGUUCUAGAUACAUCAAUUUUUAUGCAUUUCUACGACAAGUAUUUCCGGACGGAGGGAAUAAUAAGUGUAUAUUUGUUUCUAAAUAUGAAAAUAUUACUAUUAAAUACUACUAUACCAAAGAUAUAAGAAUAUUAAAUACUAGUAUACCAAAGAUACACAUAAAUAUAAGAAUAUUUAAUAGUAGUAUACCGAAGAUAUUCUACAGUUAAAUUCUAUUAACUCUGUUCCAAAAUAUAAUAAUAUUACUAUAAAAUACUAUUAGCUGUUUUCAAAUAAUUAGUAAUAGAGAUAAUAUUCUUUAGUAGUGAUAUAUCUUUAUUCCUCAUUAAAUAUAAGAAUAUUACUAGUAUUAAAUACUAGAAUCCCAAAGAUAUAUCUAAUAGUAUACCAAAAGAUAUACAACAAUUAAAUAAUAUUACCUCUGUUCCAAAAUAUAAGAAUGUUACUACUACCUCCGUCUGGAAAUAGUUGUCAUCAAAAUGAAUAAAGGAGGAUGUAUCUAGAUGUAUUUUAGUUCUAGAUACAUCUUUUUCUAUCUGUUUUGAUCACAAGUAUUUUCGGAUGGAGGAAGUAUUAAAUACUGUCACGGCUAUUCUUAUAUUUAGUAACAGAGAUAAUAGUAUUUAAUAGUAGUUUAUCAUUGUUCCUAAAUACUCCCUCCGUCCCAAAAUUCUUGUCUUAUAUUUGUCUAGAUACGGAUGUAUCUGAUACUAAAAUGUAACUAGAUACAUCCAUAUUUAGACAAAUCAAAGACAAGAAUUUUGGGACGGUGGGAGUAUAAGAAUAUUAUUAUUAAAUACUAGUAUAGAACUAUAUAUUUAGUACUAUACCAAAAUAUAAGAAUAUUUAAUGGAAAUAUACCAAAGAUAUGCUACUAUUAAAUGCUGGUAUUAAAUAAAUAAAUUUGUAGUUCAACACGCGGUCCCCACCUUGGCCCGUGCCUUCCGUUUCAGUUCAUAAAGGGCAACACAUGCUUCGCCUCCCCUCUCACAUUCUUCUCAUCCCGCUCACCUCAACCAACUCCGCGCGUCUGUUCGACCGAUCCUCCGUGAUGUCUAGCUCCGGCGUCAGUGCCAUACCCGCAGCCAACCACGAGGAGCACAGCUUGGCGGCCCCCGCCCCGCCCCCUGCGGUCGCGGUCGCCCAGGGGAAAGGGAAGAUGCUUGCGCAACAGGCGCCUGCGCCGGUGGUUCGCAAGCGCAAGCCUGGGAGACCCCGGGAGAAAAGCCCGCCCCCAAUGGCCACCAGAGAGGAGCUGGAAUUCAGGGAGUCCCGGGAAGGACCCUUGAACGUGCUUGCGCUCCCGGCGCCAGGGGCCCCGCCUGCUUAUGCUGUCUCAGACUACAAGAUGGUGAGUUGCACUCGCGCCCCCACACGGCGUGCAACCGCUGUAUCCGAAGACAAGAUGGUGAGCCGCGCUCGCUCCUCCCCCCUCUGCUACUAGUGAUUUGAAGUUAACUGGUGCCUAAUGAGCUAGAGUUAUUGACAAUCUUUAAUCUAGUCAUGUGAAUUAGUACUAGUGCUUAAUGAACUACCUGAUGUGUAUGUGCAAGAAUUACGUGCUGGGUAUAUGUCCUUGGACAUUCUAAUCGUUGCGAUCUCAUCUGGCAGAAGGACAGGAACCAGAUGGCGCUGGUGGUUCGCAGGCGCAAGCCCGGGAGACCCCGGGAGAAAAGCCCGCCCCCAGCGGCCACCAGAGAGGAGCUGGAAUCCCGGGAGUCCCGGGAAGGCCCCUUGAAGGUGCUUGCGCUCCCGGCGCCAGGGGCCCCGCGUACUCACGCUGUCUCCAGCGACAAGAUGAUGAGACGCGCUCGCGCCCCCACCCGGCAUGCAAACAUUGUCUCCGACGACAAGAAGGUGAGCCGUGAUCGCGCCCCCACCCUGCAUGCAAACCGUGUCUCCGAUGACAAGAUGGUGAGCCGCACUCGCUUCCCCCUCUCCUACUAGUGAUUUGGAGUUAACCGGUGCCUAAUGAUUUGAAGUUACUGACAAUCUUUAAUCCAGUCAUGUGAAUUGUACUAGUGCUUACUGAAUUACAUGAUGUGUAUGUGCAUGAACUACGUGGUGUGUACAUGUCCUUGGAUUUUCUAAGCAUUGCGGUCUCAUCUGGCAGAUGGACAAGAACGAGAUGGUGCCGGUCCAGGGGGUGUCGCGCAUGCGGGGGAGCAUCGCGUCGUCAAGUGUGGUUGGUAAGUAUACUUUAUGCUGCUUUUUAUUGUCAACAUCGUCUCCAUGCAGGCUACACUGGCAAACAAGCUGCUUAACUCUUGUGCAUGCUGGUUUUUUGUCAUCACUAGUAUACUGGUACUGGACUGGAGCUUGUUAGCUCUGUCCAUGCUGGGCCUUUUUGUCAUCAUUAGUAUUGUUAUAUAUUAGCUGAAGCUGCACAUGUUUUCUUUCCAUUGACGUUGGUGCGGGCGGUGCUACGCGUCAGUCGGCUGAUGGAUGGACGCCUUACUCACCUGAUUUUAAUCAAGUCCCACCUAGGUGUAGUUUGUUUUGUCACUAGCUGUGUAUACAUAGGCGAGCUCCAGCACUGCGUUGCAGCGUGGAAAACAUAUGAACUGUAAUAAGAAACAUGCA